rnacentral:lncRNA from 1 species
AACAGAAUUUCAUUAAUUAAGCUACCACGGCCUUCAGGUUGUGUUUGUGAUCAACAAUCACACUGAAAAACUGAGUAACCUUCAAAAAAAUUGAAAUCCAUGAGUUGACAGGAUCUGAACAUGAAGUUUCUUUUGUGAAGCGACUAUUUGAUCGGGCAACAGCAGUGAACAAGGUGAUAAACUUCAGAGUCAUCAACCACUGAAAGCAAGGCCAGGAAUAUGCAUGGAGAAUGAUGCAUCGUAACCACAAGAAUGUACGUGUUAUAUGCACAUGAAUACUUCUAGUAGUAGAAUAUCAACCAUGGAGUUAUAUGUGUAUCAGAAUUUCGUAAUUUCUAUUUUGAUGCCUGCUGCAGUGCAUGACAACAUGAAAAUGCUAGCACGCAGCUCAUUGAAAAAUGUGGAAUCCAUUUACCUUAUGGUUUAUGCUUAUUAAUGUUGUGUUUCUUACACAUGGAACUUUUAAGUGUUCUUUUGACAAACAUUGUAAUGUUCAGAUACUAAGAUUAGAAAUACUGUUUCUUGUUGCCCAUCCAUAAUAAGCAUUUUAUUCAAUUUUUCAAUUGUAAUCAAGAUUUUUCAAAUAGAGCAUGUUGUACGGAUUGCCUCCAGGAUAGCUCGUGCAAUCAAAUAUUUUUUAAAGAGAAGUGACAUCGUAUUUCUAUGGAUCACUGCGAAUUCAUUUGCCCUUACCAUAAAUCUUGACAGAUGCCUUCAUGUGAUGCCAUUUUACAAAACCCUGGUUGUGCAUAUACAUCUUCUCCUAUGUGCUAUGUGUCAUAUUACAGAAGUGUUGAUUCAAAUCUAUAUUUUGAACUUCCGAUAAUUCUUAGUGCAAAAGCAUUUUGAUCUCCAAGAGAAUUUCAGAACUUACCAUUAAAUCCAUGAUUCACCAUCAGGUUGUACACCUUUCACUCCGCACCUAGAAUGUAAUGUGCCAUUCUUAUAUUUUUUUAAAAGAAAAUCUUUUUCAUGUGGACCAAAAUUCACUAUAGUUAUGGUAUUAUGGUCACUUUGUCAAUACCAUAGCCCUUCUCCGCCAAUCUUCGAGAGGCUGGAUGUGGUCAAGGUUUCCAAUUUCAUACAUCAUGUCAUCAAACCCACUGGUUAAAUACAAGGAUGAAUGAUUAGACAAGUUAAAGUUCGGUAUUGAUGAUUUCUUAGUGUGAUGAUCCAAAGCAAAGUUUAGGGGUGAUUUGGAGUUUUCCAAAGAACAAAGGGUUAAAAAGGGAAUACCAGCUGGCGCACGAAAAAUUUUGUGAACCACGCCAAAUCAGUCGCAAAUUCUGAAAUUUUUCCCAAAUUCUACAGCGAAAUGCUAAAAAUUCCAUUCCGUUCCCCACUCUCGAAUCUCGAUGGAGCUGAGCGGCGGAGACAGCGAGGGCGCCCCCAAGCGUGCGAAGCUCUCCUCCGGCGAUGCCGGCGGCGGCGAGGACUGCCUCAGCGCGCUCCCCGACGACGUCCUCGUCCUCAUCCUCCUCCGCCUCGACACCACCGUCGCCGCCCGAACCAGCGUCCUCUCCCGCCGCUGGCGCCGCGUCUGGGCUCUCCUCCCGAAGCUCUGCUUCCCCGUCGCCCCCGAGCCCCACCGCUUCCGCGACACCCUCGACACCCACGAGGAGCCCCUCCGCGACCUCCUCGUCGGGGCCGGGGGCGCCACCCCCGAAUCCCUGGCGAUCUGGCUACCCGCCGCCGCGCGCCGCGUCUCCGGCGACCUAACCCUUCUCACAUUUGAUCCGGGGAAAGACGCCGGGGAGGAGGAGGGGGAGGCCGCGCAAAGAGGCGCCUUUGAGCUCCCCUGCUUCGAGAAGGCCACCUCGAUCUCCCUCAUCCUGGGGUUCCACGGCCUCGCCAUCGCCAUGCCACCCACCGGCGUCUUCGCCCGGCUCACAGGGAUCUACCUGAGCUGCGUCCGGUUCCACGGCCCGUGCACGCUCGGCGACGCCAUGUCCUCGCCACGGUGCCCGUGCCUGCAGAGGCUCACCGUCGACGACUCCCGUGGACUGGGCGAUCUCACCAUCAACUCGGUGUCGCUGCUGCAAAUGGAGCUCAGGAACCUGCGCGGGUUGUGGCAGGUCACUGUUGUGGCGCCGGCGCUCACGGAGCUAACUGUGAUAUACUGCUUUCGCAACGAUGACACUCAACCGGUUGCAAACAUCUCAGCCCCUCAGCUGGUGAGCCUCGAGUGGAAAGAUGCGUAUGAUCCAAGCUCCGUCCAUCUUGGCAAGAUGGCACAUCUCCGAUGGCUGGGCACAUUUUAUCUUGUAUAUGGACAAGAUCGCCUUAGUCACAACCACUCUUGUUCAACGCUCUUGCAGCGCUUUGAGGCCAUUGAAACCCUUUUUCUCACACUGGCAUAUAUGCGGGUGAGAUUGCUUAUUCUCUUAUCUGAAAUUAUGCCAUCGUACAUAGUAUCAUACUGAUAUGUCAUUGUAACAUCUUUGAUUACCAGCUGGGUACAGCUGUUUGAAAUUGGAUAGCAAGAUCCGUCCAUUUUUCUGUGACAUGCCCACCAAGAAUGGUCCUAGGACCUAGGCUACCACACUGUAGAAUUCGCUCAGCCAUGCAUAUGAUUCUUUGUUUAGAAAAACUUUACAUUGAAGCAAACUUUACUGUUUUCUGAAUGCGAUAUAUAUGUAGAGUUAUGUAUAUCACUUGUCCUCGUGGUAUUCAUGUUGAAAUAUUCUCACUUGUUUUGCUUUGCGACUUUACUGAUCACACUCAAUUAUCCUUCUUUUCCAAUAUAAACCGGCCGGUUGCUUGUACUGGGAAGCUAAUCAAGGAAUUGAUGUAAUCCACUUCAAAUACUGUCAACGCUUCUAACGAGGGCGACACUCUCCGCCUCUUGCUUACCUCUCUUCCAAUUCCAAGCUCAUAUAUCAGUAUAGAUUACUAAGUUGGUCUAUACGGCCAAGUUGAGACAAACAAUCAUGUCCGCCAACCGGGAUGAACAAUGAAGCUUGCUUAAUUAAUUAGCACAUUAGUCCUAUUCAUAGAUAACAAUAUGCCAAGUGGUUAGAGCACGUACCGAAGCAGGUCCGGGUUCGCGAAUUACGACUUCACGUGGGAGCGAAUUAUACGAGUCUAAAAUUUAAAAAAAUAGGUAGGAGUUUCCCUAGCUGAUUUCAUUAAAAAAACAAUCUGCCGCCUGGAUCACUUGUUAUUACUAGUUUGUGUAUCUAUAUUUAUUAUAUUUGGAAAAAAAAACACCGUCUUGCGUAUGUGUACUGUGCUACGGUUGGCAACUUCCUCGAGGAUACAUGUGUAUAGCCCACAAAGUCAAAUGCAACGCUAGCUUCCCUCGUCAUUUGCGUCCAUGUGACAGCAUCUGCUGAACUAAGUUAUAUAUCACUCGGGCAUCCUCCAUUAAUUUCAUCGGUGCCUGGACGAAGAGAUGAGGCGAAAGUAUCUGAAACCCUCAAGUACUUUUCAGAUCCUCACUGAGUAUCUAUCCCAAACAAGCCUCCGAGCGCUUCAUCCAGCAACCUUCAAGUACUUUUCAAAUCCUCACUGAGUAGUUCUAGUACUCUUCGAGUAUUUUAUCUGGCUGAAUCUUCAAAGUGCUUCAAAGAUGCCAUAAGGCUUUGGUGUGCUCAAGCCCUUCAUCAUCUUGAUCUGUAAUUUUCAUCUUUGGAAUGUGAUAUGAGCCAUGCCAGCCCCCCUCAUGAUCUAUAAGUCAAAUGCAACGCCUCUCUCUCGGAAAACAAUUACAACGCUAGCUUUUCUCUCUCUACGUGAUAAGUUACUAUAAAUCUCUAAUUAACCCGUCGCACCUCUAGAACGUUCUUGUCUAUUAAAAAACAAUCCGCUGGCUGGAGUAUUUGUUUAUUGCAUCCAAAACUUUAUUAAUCCACUUGUGCUCCCUCCAUUAAUUUGGGGACGAAGAGAUCAAUAGCACCACACGGUAUCAAUAGCGUGUGCUUGGGGGAAAAAUCGCGUUGACCCCCGACAGCUCCCACUCCGAUUCCCCAAUCCCAUGGCGAUGCCCGCCGGAGCCAAGAGGGAGAGGAGGGCAAGGCUUGACGAGGAUGGAAAGGAAGAGCUCGUCGACCGCAUCAGCCGCCUCCCGGACGACGUCCUCGGCAACAUCGUCUCCUUCCUUCCCACCAAGGAUGGCGCCCGCACGCAGGUACUCUCCUCCCGCUGGCGCCCCAUCUGGCGCUCGGCUCCUCUCAACCUCGAAAUCAGCAUCGCCUACGUCUCGCGCAUCCUCUCCGCGCAUCAGGGCCCCGGCCGCCGCUUCUGCACUCAGUUCCCCUACCUCGACCCCAGCGACCGCUCCGCGACCCUGGACCGGUGGCUCCGGUCCCCCGCCCUCAACAGCCUCCAGGUGCUCGAGUUCCACCUCGGCAGUCCGCUUCAAAAUCCGCCGCUGCCGGCAUCAGUACACCUCUUCUCGUCCACCCUUCGCGCCGCCAGCUUCGGCUGCUGCGCUUUCCCGGAAGGAAACAGCGCCAGCCCGCUUCACUUGCCACUUCUCAAGCAGCUAAGCCUUUUUGAUGUCAGAAUCUCGGAAACUUCUUUCAAUGCCUUGCUCGCGGCCUGCCCUACCCUUCAAAGCUUGCUGCUAACUAACAUCUCGGGCUGCUCUCGCGUCCAAAUUGUGUCCCAGAACCUUAGAAGCAUUGGUUUUCUUCGUACUUUUUAUCGUGAUGGACACACCAGUUUGCAACAACUCAUCAUCAAGGAUGCCCCAUAUCUAGAAAGGUUGCUUUGUUUUGAAAAUGGUUCUGGCAUGGAAGUCACCGUUGUCUCGGCACCACAAUUGCAUGUUUUGGCACUACAUAGUGUUUACAACCUCAGACACUACGUUGGCAGCACAACUUUUCUGUUUGGUAGAACAGCUUUUCAGGUAUCACCUCCCUUGUCACUUUAAUAUUCGUGACGGAUCCAAGACCCUUUUUUCGAACAAACAAUCAAAGUCCCCUUGUCUGAUCAUGAUGUUAAACUUUGUAUUAUGUACGUGCUUUACUCAGAGAUCAUGCAUUCCUAGCUCGACGACGGUGGUUCACAGCAUGAAGGUCUUAGCUUUAACCCAGCCGGAUCUUUGUUUGGAUAUGGUUAUUAACUUGUUGAAAUGCUUCCCCUGCUUAGAGAAGUUGUACAUCGAGGUGAUUAAACUUUUCCUCCAUAAUAGGGAGGUGUCCUCUGCAUUCUUUUUCCUCCAUUCUAAUGCUAGGUCAUUACUAUUGUCAUGUUCAUUUUGCCUUUUCAGACACAGAAAGCAGGGAAGAAAAAUACUUGGUGUCAUAAAUACAAGAAUCUUAUUGGUACCAUUGAAAUUCAUCUGAAGAAAAUUGUGUUGACAAACUAUCGGGGCAACACAUCACAUGUUAACUUUGCCAAGUUCUUUGUUUUGAAUGCGAGAAUGCUACAGUCAAUGAGGUUUGAGUUAUUUGAUCAAAAUCCCAGCACCGCAUGGAUUGAGAAACAGCAUGGACUGCUCCAAAUAAAAAAAGCUUCAAGGGUCAUACAGUUUGAUUUUGUGGCUAAAAACAGCUGCUCUUUGAUGCUUUCCAUUGAGUUUGCGGGGCAAGUACAUGAUUUGUUAACAGCUGACCCCUUUGUAAAGCUUCAUAAUUGGACAUGAUUCCUUACGACGACCAUAAAAACCCUCUUCUCCUGACUUGGAGGUAAUGCUAUCCUUUUCUUUUCUAAGACUUGAGUCAACAUGGAAGUGAUGGAAUGCAAUCUACAUAUGCAUUUCUUGGCACACCAACUCCUGGUCUGCUAGUUGCCCUACCAACCUGAAGUUUAUAGCUUCUCUAUAUGAGCUAUUGAUAGAACCACGCAUAACCAAAAUGGUUUAUGCCUGAAGAUUCAGUUGUAAUUUUAGCCAACGUUCUUUGCGGUAAACCAGAUAGUAAAACAAGAAGUUAUUUUAGCAAUAACAGUCAUAGUUCUGCAAUUUGUUAGAGCAACUCCAGCAAUAGUCUAUACUUGAGAUCCCUACUUUUCUAAGUAGGAGCAGGGGCUCUUCCAACUUUUUGGGGCUGUAAUUUUCACCAUCAACUCCAGCAACAACCCCUACUGCUCAGCCCCUACUAUUGGUCUUAUAGGUAGGGUCCAUCUGUCGGUGUCCUUUCAUCUAUCUUCUUCCUCUGCUCUCUCUCUCUCUCUCUCUGUGGCACUCUUCCUCUCUACCUAAAUUGACGAGCUCAGGGUGUUGCUUGCCUCUACGCCGGCCAAAACGGCUCGGUCGGGCCAUGGGCGAGCUUUGCUGGCGGUGGGAGCAGAUGUGCUUGGAGCCGGCGCAGUCGGCCCGCUCGCGAUAGGAGCAUGAGCUCCGCCGCUGCCAAGAGCUCUCCCUCCAUUGCUUCGGCCUCGAGCUCUCCAUUGGCUACCUGAAGCUUGAGUUCUCCCACCAACCCGUCCUCGUGGGAUCUGGGGCACGCACGCUAAAGGACGAACUAGGAGGAGCUCCAUCGCGAGCUUGAGGGAGAGUGGCACGGGCGGCUUGACUGGAUUCGGCUGGGCUGUGCCGACGACCACAUAGGCCAAGGUCCGUUAAGGAAGAGGCGCGCGUGAUGGUGGCGUUCUUGGGAAGGUAGAUCUAGAGGAGGGGGAGGGGAGAUGACUGCCGGUUGCGAUUUGGAAAGUGGCGGAGCUCUCGAGCGGCGGCGGUGCUCCAGCCGUACGAGCGAAGGCAAGACAGGCGGGAGGAAAACGACUGCAACAGAAAAGUAGGGGCCUCCCUAGCCACCCGUGGGAGGAGGGGAGGGGAAAAGUAGGGUCCUCUCUAGAGUAAGGACCCAAGUAGGGAUCCUUUUGGAGUGGGUUUUUUCGCCCUCGGCCUCUACUUUUGAGCAGGGGUUUGAGUAGGACCCUUGCUGGAAUUGCUCUUAGCUUUUGCCAACAUAUCUGAAAAGUAGAAAUUCAUGAGUUCAAAGGAUCUGACAAUGAUGUUUUAUCUGUUAAUUUUAGUAAGAUUUGGUCCUCUUUGCAGGAACUGCAUUCUCAUCAGCUUUCGUAUUUGUGGCCAGUCAUGAAAACCAUGGAACUCAUCUCCUCGAUGAAGAGAAAUCCACGAGGGAUCUGAACAAGAUGUUUCUUUUGUAAUUUGACUCUUCAGUCGGUUGGGACUGCUGCAAAAGUUGGCGGUUAGCAUUGUCAAGGAACUAACCGCUACUAGUACCUUGUGAUCUAAAGCCCCUCUGAGCUUGGUGCGGUAUGCUGUGACUGUGUGCCAACGUACUGAAACCUUGCAAUGAUAUGAUAGCCCAUGUACCUACAACUCUUUAUCCCCUUUGGGGCUUUGCAAAACGAAUUGAGUUGCAUUCUGUAACACUAAUGGCAAUAGUUUUGGGUUUUAACUGAGUGUUUCACUAUUUGGAUUGCAAAUUUGUGUUAUUUUUAAGUUACUGUCAGCCUUUUUGAAAUAUACGUCAGCCUUUCAUUAAAAAUAAUACAUUGCAGCGAUCGAGCAUGAAGUUAACAGCAUUGUUGCAUGUGAGGCUUGAUCUUGAUAACAGAAUUAGGAGUUAGGAAAUAAUAGCAUAUAUGCGUUGGUACAUAAAAAAACACUGGCAAUAAUUUCUCAAAUGCCCCUAACUUGUUGAAGUUUCUGUACUUCCAUCGGAUAACCUAAACCCUAUGGUGGAUUGAAAAUCUUCUUUAAUAUUAUUGACAGCAUAAUCAUACCCCCUAUACCAUUUUCUCUUAGAUAGGGCAAUCGUAUUAUAUUCUGCAAACUGACUGCUUCAAACUGGUGUCCAGGAGGGAUCCUUUUGCAAAUAUUGUUGGCUUUGGUUGCAUAUUUGGGCAAUCCGAUAUUGUUCAAAUUUCCUGUCUUUAUAUUCCAAUCCAACAGUAUCAGUUAAUCUCAAAAGGUUAAUACCUUGUUCCAGGCACAAACUACAUGCCCAUCAGGUUGCAUAUGUGGCGAGCAACGAAACUGGAGAGCCGAGCAACUCUUGUUGAAUCGCCUCCAAGAAGUAGAAAUCACUCGGUUGAGAGGAUCUGAACAUGAGGCUACAUUUGUGAAGCAGCUAUUCAAAUGGGCGACCGUAUUGGAAAAGAUGAUGGUAACUUUCGAUUAUUCAGUUACUGAAAGCAUGGCCAAAGAGUUGUGCCAGGUGGCUUCUCUAGUCCAAAAAUGCGCAUGGAAUUUUACAUAUAUCAGGACAUGAUCAAAGUGUUGUAUGCACCCAAAGACCAAGGCGGCCGGAUUAUCACUUUAAGCGCAUUUCCGUAGUUUCCUUCUUUGAUAUGUACUGCAAAUGCUAAUUUGAUCCUUUUUGGUGUCAAGAGCUGGUGCCUCAAACUGACUGGAAAAUAGAAAGCCUUUUUGGCAUCAAUGAUGCUGUCAAGUCAUAUUGGGCUGGUAAGACUAGGACACGUGGGGACGGAAUUCCUAUCCAUCUUCCGGAAGGAGUGAGCACUAGCGAUUUUUUUUCUACGUGCAAGGCGUACUGCUGCUCUCUAGUUAGCGGGCCGUGUGCUGCUGCUAUACUGGGCUUCCGUGGGCUGUGCAAUCACUAGAGUUUCUAUCGCAUGGAAGAUAGAUAGGAGGCCCCCACCCAGGGAUGUUUACCCCUGAACUUCAACUUGCAAUGCAGGUGAAGAAAUGAAUAUGGUUCCUUUCGUGUUUAUAAGUAACCAAUUGCGCUGGGGGACUAAGCCGCUGCCGCCAUCGGUGCUCCGCUUCUCCUCCACCCUCGCCGUCGCCAGCUUCGAAGGAUGCGUCUUCCCGGAUUGUGGAAACAGCAAUAUUGCUAGCAGAGAGCUCAACCAGCUUCUCAACCAGCUGAGCCUUGUGAGUGUCAGAAUCUCAGAGACCUCUCUUCAUGCCUUGCUCGCGGGCUGCUCUGUCCUUGAGAGCUUGCUGCUAAAAGACACCAAUGGCUUCCCUCGAGUCCAGAUCAUGUCCACAGCCUCAGAAGCAUCGGUGUGUGUUCUCUUUGGGGAGACGACAGGUUGAGGUAGCUCAUCAUCGAGGAUGCCCCAUCUCUAGAAAGAUUACUAAUUUUCAAAGGCAGGGAGAUGGACAUCUCGGUAAUAUCUGCGCCGAAAUUGAAAAUUUUGGGGAAGCUUUCUAGCAUAUCCCCCAGGCUCCAGUUUGGCACCACAACUUUUCAGGUACCAGCAUCAUUCUAACUUCCACCUUCAUGAGCAACCGGGAUAAAAGACCCCCCCCUCCCCUUUUAUCCCAGUUUGAAACACCAACCAGGAUAAAAGACUCUUUUAUCCCGGUUGGUAUUACAAACCGGGAUAAAAGACUCUUUUAUCCCGGUUGGUAUUACAAACCGGGAUAAAAGCUCUCGACCCUUUUAUCCCGGUUGGUGUUACCAACCGGGAUAAAAGGGCGGGUCUUUUAUCCCGGUUGGUGUUUCAAACUGGGAUAAAAGGCCUCUCAGGGUCUUUUUUUUUUCCACUAGCCUUUGCAACCGGGAUAAAAGGUCGCGGUUGGUGAGCCCCCCACCAAUGACCGAGCUUUAGUCCCGGUUGGUGAAACUUUUGUCCCGGGCCAACUUUAAACCGGGACAAAAUGGGACGCAUGGAAGGUGAGUUCUCUACUAGUGUAUGAAUUGUAGCAAACCAUGGAUUACCAUAGUUUUUCCGGUUUACGUAUAACAGUUUAUUUGAAAUAUUAAAAGCAUACAUCGUUUCAAACUUAUACAUUAUCUCUAUACAUUUAGAAAAGUAUGACUAGAGCAUGCUUAAAGGAAGUACAUAGACUGUUCAUGGCUGAUAUUUAUUUAUCACCGUAAGAUCAAGUAUAGCUGAUAACUGUUGAAUUGAUCAUCAUCUUCAGGAAUAGCAGGCUACAAUUACUUUUGGCAUGCAAACUUUGCCAAAAAGAAAAUAGAGUGCAUAUAUUGGCAACUAAAUUUGACACCUCUCGUAUGGGUGAUCAUGUGAUUGAGCAAUGUUGUGUUUUGAAUAUUUAAUUUGACCGAUUAAUUGAUCCAUGAAGAUGGUGAUCGGCCAGUCAAGGGUUUCGGUCAUCGUCUGGCAACACAUUGACAUGGCGGCCGUCGUCAACGUGUGAUUGGGCCAGAAAUUAGAGCUGCGGUGGGCAAAAAAAAUGAUUGGGCCAGAAAAGCAUUCGCAGAAGCCGAACUACAUCAGUGUACUUCGCGGGAGCGGCCGUCUUUCUUCCCCACCUGCCAAGCCGCGCCGCCAGCGCCAUGGGGGUGACCACGAGAGCCAAGAAGAGGAGGCUGGAGGAAGAACAAGAGCUCAUCCACCGCAUCAGCCGCCUCCCGGACUGCGUCCUUGGCAACAUCUUUUCCCUCCUCCCCACCAAAGACGGUGCCCGCACGCAGGUCCUCUCCUCCCGGUGGCGCCACAGCUGGCGCUCCGCUCCCCUCAACGUCGGCGUUGUCAUCUACGAGGACGACCCAACAAUUCCUCUCGACGGCAUCUCCCGCAUCCUCUCCUUGCACCCAGGUCCCGGCCGCCGCUUCUCUAUCCGCUCCGACAGCUGGGCCAUGGCAUGGCUGGCUCCGGUUUCCCUACGUCAACAACAUCCAGGAGCUCGAGAUCCACUUCCACUGUUGGAAUUAGAGGCAUUUUGCGAUUAAUUUUAAUCCGAAAUAUAGAAUAAAAUAUGACAAUAAGGAUAGCAUAAAUAGGAACUUGAUCUAUUGUAUUUGCAAUGAACAUAAAGCAUGCAAUAGAUACUAUGAAACGCAAGAACUGAAUCAGGACGUUCAUAAGGGACUACCCUAAGGCGGGGCUAGUUCUGGAGAAAUCAGAUACGCCAUUACCCAACAUCAUUAGUUGAGUUUGUUCGAAGUAGGUGAUUAGAGGUUGAUGCUGUGCAGGUGAACGCAAUGCAUUUGCGCCUUCAGGAAGUAAAAUGUGCACAGCAAGCAGUCGCGCAGAUGCGCUCCCCAAAAGCUUGAUCACCCUAAUACUCCUCGGGUGCAGAGUCUCUGGCAAAGGGCGCAACUUCGAAGGUCUUCUCUUCCAGCGAAAUCCGUGCACACAGAUCACCGGAAUGGAGACAGCAAAAAUGUAGCGCAACAGUGGAGGAAAGCUCUGGUGGUUUGUGUUUUCGUGUACGAAAGAAGGAGAAGUAGCACCUCUCUUGUAGGCACCAGAAGACCCUUGGAUGCCCAGGUUAAUGCAGCAAUCAAAUGGUCAGUUUCUAGUAACUGCCAGCCAUUAGCAGUCAGCAGUUACUAGUCAUUUGUUAUCAACUAUUCAAUCAUCAAUUACUAGUCACUAAAUGUGUGUCCGUUACUUUUCAUCAACUAUGAUCAAAAAUUGCAAAACCUGACCAAGCCCACACAUCACAUCACGUCCAGUCAUGUCACGUCGCGUCUCGGCUCGGCUCGGCAUGGCACGGCUUGGUGAUGAGAGCGAGCGCGCGCGUGUGUGGCAUCCUGCCAUCCCUCCCUCAACUUGUCAACAUGUGCAGCACGGCUCCACCUUAUAAGUUGGUUAUAGAUCCUCUCAACUUCCAAGUUGGUUUUAUUCUAUUUGUAACUACCACCACUAAUGGGCCUUGGGAUAUAUUUGAUCAAUUAAAUAAUGGGCCAAAAACCCAAUUAUGCUAACAAUCCCCACCAAAUUCCAAGGCUCAUUUGGGAAUUUGCUCCAUUGCUGUUGGAUAUACCAGUGUUUCGAUGGAGACAUGAAUAAGGUUGAACAUCCACCUAGAACAUAAGCUACAUUUAUCCACAACUGAACAAUGGACUAUACCUUGAAUUGUCAGUUUUGUGCAAGCAAGUUUCACUUAAGUCCUUUACCGAUACUAGGCUGCAAAAUGCAUCUCCUCUUGUUGAAGCAUGUAAGUCUUACUUUUGGGCCUUUCAUGAGUCUCUAGAGAUUACCCAAUCUCAUAGACUGUGACUAACAAUCAAACUCAUAUAGGUGUGUUCCUCUAAAGAUGUUUCUGCAGAUUAACAUCUUUGCUUAAGCCACUCGGAUCAUAUUAAGGUGUUUACCAACCUGCCAUGCAAAUUUAGAUAAGAUUGCAUCUCCAACGGAGUGGGUUCCUACAAUAGUACUCCCCUUCUCAGUUAGUCAAAUAGCUUGUUUCACCAUUCUAGUUCACAGGAUCUCCGAUCAAAUAGAAUAGGUUACCACUAUGACUUAACUCUCAUGUGGGUCUCAUUCCCAUCUCCCUCGAUGCCUCGUCUAUCACAUUUUGUGAAAGACCUUUCGUGAAUUGAUCUACCAGAUUUUUAGCUGUUUGGACAUAGUCCAGUGCUACCACUCCGGAGUUUCUCAUCUUUCUGACAGACUUCAGUCGCCUCUUCACAUGUCUUGAUGACUUCAUAUUAUCCUUAGAACUGUUCACCUUGGCAAUCACUAUUUGAUUAUCACAGUUCAUUAGAAUAGCUGGUAUCAGUUUCCCAACCACUGGCAAAUCCGACAAAAGAUCACGAAGCCAUUCAGCCUCAACUAUGGUGGUAUCCAGUGCUAUGAGUUCUGCUUCCAUUGUUGACCUCGUUAAGAUGGUUUGCUUGCAAGACUUCCAAGAAACAGCACCACCUCCAAGCAUGAACACAUAUCCACUUGUGGUUUUUAUCUCAUCAGCAUCUGAUAUCCAGUUUGAGUCACUAUAGCCUUCCCGUACCCUAGGAUACCCAGCAUAAUGAAUUCCAUAACUCGUUGUGCCUAUUAGAUAGCGCAUUACUCUCUCAAGAGCAUGGCAGUGAUCAUCUCCAGGAUUUGAGACAAAUCUGCUGAGUUUGCUCACAGCAAAUGAGAUGUCAGGCCUCGUAGCGCUGGCUAGAUACAUUAGCGAGCCAAUGAUUUGAAAAUAUCUCAAUUGAUCCCUUGCGAUUCUACAGUUUUUCCGCAAUAUCACACUGGAAUUGUAAGGCGUGGGAGCAGGCUUGCAGUCACUAUAACCAAAGCAACUCAAGAUCUUCUCCACAUAAUGGGAUUGCAAAAGUGUAAUCCCACCAUUACCUUCUCUCAGGUUCAAAAUUAGAUCAGCCACUCCCAUAUCUUUCAUCUCAAAACUUUGAGACAAAAAUCUCUUAACCUCCUCAAUCACAUUGAGAUUGGUAUCAAAGAUCAAUAUGUCAUCAAUAUACAAACACAAGAUCACUCCUUUUUCCCCACCAAAAUGGUAGAUACGCACUUGUCGGCUUCAUUCACAACAAAGUCGGCUGACUUGAGAGUCUUGUCAAACUUCUCAUGCUAUUGCUUAGGAGCUUGUUUCAGACCAUACAAAGAUUUUAACAACUUGUGCACCUUUCCUUCAUGACCUUCUACUACAUAACCAUCAGGCUGAUCCAUAUAAAUUUCCUCAUCUAACUCUCCAUUAAGGAAGGCUGUCUUAACAUCCAUCUGAUGGAUGAGAAGCCCUUGUGAGGUAGCUAAGGAUAGUAGUACUCGAAUCGUGGUCAAUCUAGCAAGUGGUGAGUAAGUAUCAAAAUAAUCUUCGCCUUCUUUCUGGGUGUAACGCUUGGCCACAAGUCUUGUCUUGUACUUUUCAAUAGUACCAUCAGGUCUAAACUUUUUCUUAAACACCCACUUGCAUCCUACAGGUUUGCACCCGUAUGGACGAUCAACAAGCUCCCAAGUCCCAUUAGACAUUAUGGAAUCCAUCUCACUUUUGAUUGCUUCCUUCCAAUAGUCAGCAUCAGGAGAUCCAUAAGCCUCAGCAAUAGUUCUAGGAGUGUCAUCUGCAAGGUACACAACGUAGUAUCACCAAAAGAAUUUGCAGUCCUUCAUCUUUUACUCUUUCGAGUCCUUUCAUUGUCAUCCUUCUCAUGAUUCUCCUCAAGUGGUUGUUCAAAGUGUACUACUGUAUUAUUACAUUCAGGGGAAUUAACAGAUUCAUAACUAGAGUUGCUAGAUGUUUCAUUCAUAGGAAAAAUAUUCUCAAAAAAUGUGGCAUCUCUGGACUCCAUGAUUGUACCAACAUGCAUGUCCGGUACUCUAGAUUUAAUUAUCAAGAAUCUAUAUCCAAUACUAUGAAAAGCAAAGCCUAGAAAGACACAAUCAACUGUUUUCGGUUCGAGCUUGUGCUUCUUAGCAAUUGGUGCAUUAACCUUUGCCAAGCAACCCCAAGUACGCAAGUAUGAGAGUGUUAGUCUUUUAUUUUUCCAUUCCUUGAAUGGUGUUUUCUCUUUGUUUUUCAUAGGAACUCUAUUAAGAGUAUGACAGGCAGUCAACAUGGCUUCACCCCAUCAUUCCCAAGAAAGUCCAGCUGCUUCUAACAUGGUGUUAACCAUCUCAGUUAGAUACGGUUCUUCCUUUCAGCCACUCCAUUUGACUCAGGAGAAUAAGGUGGUGUUUUUUCAUGAAUAAUGUCAUGUUCCUCACAGAACAAAUUGAACUCAUUUGAAAAGUACUCUCCACCUCGAUCCGAUCUAACAUGUUUUAUCUUCCUCUCAAGUUGAUUUUCAACUCCAGCCUUAUAGAUCUUGAAAAACUUAAAUGCCUCAUCUUUCGAUUUAAGCAAAUACACAUAGCAAUAUCUAGUAGAAUCAUCUAUCAAAGUUAUGAAAUAUCUCUUUCCACCUUUAGUCAACACACUAUUUAUUUCGCUGAAGUCCGAAUGAAUUAAUUCUAAUGGUAACAAAGUCCUCACCUCAGCAUCCUUGUGAGGCUUGCAGGGUUGCUUAGAUUGCACACACACUUGACAUUAGAAAUUUUUACCAAAGUGAAUUUCGAAAUUAAACUCAAAUUAGCUAGCCACAACAUACAAUCAAAAUUAACAUGACAAAAUCGUGAAUGCCAAACAUUUGACUCAUCGUCAUUACAUACAUGAUUCACAAAUUUAUUACAAGAGUCUGAUAAUGAUAAAUGGAACAAACCAUCACAAUCAUAUCCUUUACCAACAAAGGAGCCAACCUUAGAAACAACACAUUUGUUCAAUUCAAACACCAACUUAAAAUCAUCCUUACAAAGAAGGGAUCCGCUAACAGGAUUUUAAUUUAUUGAGGUGACAUGCUGCACAUUCUUCAGCCGCAUGGUCUUUCCCGAAGUAAACUUCAGAUCGACCAUACCAAUACCACGAACAGCAGCACGUGAGUUGUUCCCUAUCAACACAGAUCCAAUCCCUGUGACCUGGUAAGAGGAAAACAAAGAAAUAUCAGCACACACAUGUAUAUUAGCACCGGUGUCAAUCCACCAAUUUGGUAAAUGACUAACUGAAAGAACAAAAGUACAAUUACCAUACCCUGAUGUUCCCUUCUCAGCAUCACUAAUAACAAUAUUAGCAAACUUCUUCUGCCCGUGUUGUUGCUUGUCCUUGCGGUCCUUGCAGUCCUUGGCCCAAUGGUCAGAACCAUCGCACACAAAGCACUUUCCCUUGUUGUUCUUCUUUUUCUUAAAGUUGGUAGUCUGAGUAGACUUGUGUUGAGACUCAAUUUUCGCUUUUCCCUUUUUCUUGUGGGAUUGGAAGUACCUUUUCUGCACCAUAUGAGCGCUAGAACCUCCCUCAUUGCUACGCGCACGUGAAUCCUUUGCUCUCGCCUUUUCUUCAACAUCAAGAGUGCCGAUAAGACCGGCUAUGGUGAACUCAUGUCUCUUAUGUUUCAGAGUAGUAGCAAAGUUCCUCCAUGAAGGAGGCAAUUUGACAAUGAUACCAUCGGCCAUAAAUUUAUCCAGCAUCUCACACCUAACAUUCACAAGAUCCUUUGAAAGAGCUUGUAACUCAUGAGCCUGUUCAACUACAGAACUGUCAUCAACCAUCUUGUAGUGGUAGAACUGCUCUAUGAUGUACAACUCGCUCCCUGCAUCUGAUACCCCGAAAUUUGCCUGGAGUGCAUCCCACACUGCCUUGCCAGAGGGAAGCUACAUGUAUGAAUCGAUCAAGUUCUUAGCAAGAACACUGAUCCUAGCCCCUUUGAACAAAUUGUCAGCAGACAUGUAUACACUAUCCUCCGUGGAGGUGUGCGGUCCCACAGAACGCUCAUGGGUAAUGAACAACACGUUCAUAGCCGUGAGCCACAACUCAAGUCUGCCAACCCAUCUCUUGUAAUUCGUUCCAUCAAAUACAUUUGGUUUCAAUUGCGCAGCAAAGCCGACUACCGAAAAAGCCCUAUCAAGUUUUUGGAUUGUUGGAAUUAGAGGCAUUUUGCGGUUAGUUUUAAUCCGAAAUAUAGAAUAAAACAUGACAGUAAAGAUAGCAUAAAUAGGAACUUGAUCUAUUGUAUUUGCAAUGAACAUAAAGCAUGCAAUAGAUACUAUGAAACGCAAGAACUGAACCAGGACGUUCAUAAGGGAGUACCCUGAGGCGGGGUUAGUUCUGGAGGAACCAGAUGCACCAUUACCCAACAUCGUUAGUUGAGCUUGUUUGAAGUAGUUGAUCAGAGGUUGAUGCCGUGCAGGUGAUCGCAGUGCAGUUGCACCUUUAGGAAGUAGAUGUGCACAGCGAGCAGACGCGCAGAUGCGCUUGCUAAAAACUUGAUCGCCCUUCUACUCCUCGGGUGCAGAGUCUCUGGCAAAGGGCGCAGCUUCGGAGGCCUGCUCUUCUGGUCAAAUUCGUGCACACAGAUCGCUGGAACGGAGACAGCAAAAAUGCAGCGCAGUAGUGGGGGAAAGCUCUGGUGGUUUGUAUGUUCGUGUACGAAAGAAUGAGAGGUAGCACCUCUUUUGUAGGCACCAGAAGACCCUUGGAUGCCCAGGUUAAUACAACAAUCAUAUGGUCAGUUUGUGGUAACUGCCAGCAAUUAGCAGUCGUCAGUUACUGGUCAUUUGUUAUCAACUAUUCAAUCGUCAGUUACUAGCCAUGAACCCCACACAUCACAUCACAUCCGGUCGCGUCGUGGCUCAGCGAGGUGUGGCCAUGACCUGCUGCUCCUGGGGUCGCUGCCGCUGCCGGCGUCGCUGCACCGCUUCUCGUCCACCCUCGCUGCCACCAGCUUCGACACCUGCGUCUUCCCGUCGGAUUGUGGAAACAUUGCCAUGCCGCUUCUCAAGCAGCUGACCCUUCUCCAUGUCAUGAUCUCGGAGACCUCCCUGCAUGCCUGGCUCGCCGGCUGCCCUGUCCUGGAGAGCUUGCUGCUGCUUGACAACGAAGGCUGCCCUCGAGUAAAGAUCAUCACGUCCCCUAGCCUCAGGAGCGUCGGUGUGGGUUCUAGAUGGAGAGAGGGAGGCCUCCGGUUCGAACAGCUCGACGUCGAGGACGCCCCAUGCCUGGGAAGAUUGUGCAUUCCUAUUAUUUUGCCACUUACGACUGUUAUAUUAUAUCUAUGGUUGUUCUAGAGCUAGCUAGGUUGACCAUGCAAUGCAUUGGCUAAUUCACACCAUUUUCAUGCUCGCUUUGCUUUUUCAGACAACACAUACAUGUUGGGGAGGAAAAUGAACUAUAUGAUGAAUAUUGGAAACUUACUGAUGAUGGUACCCUUAACACAUUCGGCUGAGAAAAAUUGUGCUACCAUACUAUCAGGACAGCAACUUGCAUAUUAACUUCGCCAAGUUCUUUGUGAGAAAUGCGGGCGUGCUGAAGUCGAUGAGGUUUGAUUUUGUAUCUCAUGUUGGGUCAUUUAGUCUUCUGCCUGAGGAGCAAGUGCAUGAUCUGUCAAUACUGGACCCCUUUCAAAGGACUCCUUAGUAGGCCUGAUAACACCAAUCAGAGACAUUUUGGUCAGUUUUUCAGACAAGGUUUAGUCAGUUUUCAGUACCUUGACAUUUGUUAUCUCUUUUAUUUCUCGGAAUAUAUACUGUAAUUUGUCAUCUGAUUUGGUGAUAUUUUUCGUUUUAAACGGAGAGGAGCUCUUGAGAUGCCCAUUGUUCUUUUCCACCUGGUUGUCAUUGGAAUGAUUCCAACUUGUAUGCUGUAUAGUCCAUUCAGUUUUCUUGAAUCACAAUUGCCAAUGUUCAGUCCAGCAAUGUUCAGAAUUCAGAGCUUGUUUGUUCUUGAGGAAUCUGCUUCCAGGUUAUAAUACACUGAAAAAUGAAGUUAUGUCUUGCUUUCGCGUCGACUGUGAUAUGAGCAGAAGCAGAACAGGUGGAAUGGCAUAUUCCCGUAUUCCUUAUUUCAGAACAACUGCAAUGUUGCAAUCCCUUGGUCUCAAAACUUUUUUUUCUAGAAUACGCAGGAGAGCUGCGUAUCUUUGUAUUAAGAAGAAAGAUCGUUUGAAACGUUACAAUGCGGGCCAAACGGGCAGACGCACACGGUCUGAACAACACUAUUGUAUGGGUAGAAAACAUACUGCAAUCUGAUAGUUUCCUAGUCUCCUCUCUUUAAUGCCAUUCAACAGGAUCAUUUAACCUUACGAGUUAAUGUCUAGUGCCAGUGCUAAGGAAUAUCAAAAUGCCAGCAGAUCCUUGAAAAAUUUAUAAUCCAUCAUCAUACUAUGUUUUCAAUUAGUCCAUGUUUUAUUUUUUCACUCCUGAACCUCUGAAAGUCCUUUCCACCUUCAUGAGGUUUUACAUUCUUGAAGCUGUUAGAUUGUUGAAGCUACAACUUGUUGGCCCCUGCUGUUGAGUGGAAAUUUGAUUCCAGAACCUGCUGGUUUUACUUAAAAAAAUGUUUUCCCCCUACAGAAUUUGGAGGAGCUUUUACAAUUCAGAGACCAAGAGAUGGUGCUUCAAGUGCUUCUCAGUCGAAGAGGAAAUUGGUUAGUAGGAUUGGAAAAUAGAAUGAGCGAGCAUUUGAAACUAAACACUACAAACCACUACAUUGUUCCCGCCUGAAUUUAGUUUGGUUCAACAUCUUGUGCCUUGAAAUUUGGUUGCAUAAAGCUGAAACCUGCUGACUUCUGUUGAUAUCACACAAUCUGGUAAGCAUCCAAACACAUCUGUCAUUUCUGAAUCAACAAUGCAUUGGGGAAAAGAUCAUGGGACAGCUUCAGCCUGAGAGGUCCUUACCCACAGGCAAACCACAAGCAGAAAUAAAAAUUACUGACAUCACCAUCAAAGAAUAGCAAGUUCAGAUUCUGAGCUUUUGGCUACAACAAAAACACUCUGUCACCUAUCAUCUUGAUUUCAUCAGCUAUAUAAGUAGAAUGAUUUAUUCUACGAAACAUACAGGUAGUAUAUAGGAUGAAUCGACCAUGUAUGCUCUGCAUCUUGGUCAUCAGUGCGGCAAGCCGGCGGCUCUACCGCAGAGUAUGGCAUUGGUCGGGAUGCUGUACUCGUUAGCGAAGCUCGGCUCCGGCGUCCAGACCCUGAGGUAGAGCUGCUGGCCGAGGUACUGCCGGUCCCAGAUCGCCGACCUCAGGUUCCACAUCCCCUGGUUGUCCAGCGACACCAGGAUCGCCGACCAUCCGCUCGGAUACACCUGAUGCCAACAAACAAUUGCCAAUGUUCAGUUCAGUUUCAUCGGGUACGGUGUUCAGGAUUCAGAGCCAUGUUCUUGAGCAAUCUACUUCCAAGUUAGGAUACCUGAACUGUACGCCUUGCUUGCGCGUCGACCAAGUUGUAGGUUUGCCGCUGCAUCUCAGUCCACUGGCCAUUGCCGUACCUGAAUGCAUUCAGACGAUGAUCAAGUGUGAGUAAGUCUGCACCUAAAGAAGUUUGCGAGAGCACUCAGACUACGAUGGCUUUGGAAUGAAUGGAAGGAGCCGCGCAAACCUUGGGUUGGAAUGCCAACACCGUGCACUGCUAAAGACAAGGACCUAUUCGCUGCUGCAACGACAGUCACGCUUGGCAAUGGGGAGAAGGCCAAAUUCUGGGAGUCGACGUGGCUCCAGGGAGAGAUGCCAAAGCAAAUUGCCCCAACGGUGUACUCCAUCUCAAGAAAGAAGAACAGGACAGUUAAAGAUGCCCUUUUAAAUGACAAGUGGAUUACUGACUUAAACGUGGUCAGAUUAUCGUCGGCAACACAGAUCGCCGAAUUCGUCACCCUCUGGGAUCGUCUGACAACGGUCCAACUAAGUCCAGGCACACCGGACUCCAUUACAUGGAAACUUACCCGGCAUGGCGAAUACACGACAUCAUCGGCAUACGAGGCUCAAUUCCACACCUCAACACCAUCUGAUAUGGAACGACUCAUUUGGAAGACAUGGGCGCCCCCAAAGUGCAAAUUCUUCUCCUGGCUUGCUUUUCAAAACCGUUUAUGGACAGCAGAUAGACUUAUCACAAGGGGUUGGCCUAAUCAAAAGGUAUGCAUGCUCUGUCACACGCACGAUGAAACGCUGCUACAUCUGCUAUCAAAAUGCCGCUACACUACUCGACUCUGGGAUAAAAUCUUCGGCUGGGCGGCUGUGAACAUUCCAUCCAGGGGGGAUUGGUCCGCCUUCUCAUCUAUCAGCGAAUGGUGGUCACAUCUUGGGUCCAUGCCGGGCAUGCCGCGAAAGGGAUUUAGAUCACUCAUUAUUCUCGUGUCAUGGGAGGUCUGGAAAGAGCGCAACGAAAGAAUUUUCCAACGGAGAUUUAAAAGUUUGGACCAGCUAAUGUGUAAAAUAAAGGAUGAAGUACGAUGCUGGACCUUGGCAGGUGCAAAGCAUUUGGGAGCUCUCUGUCCAUCGGAGGAGUGACCGAGAAGCAUAGAAAUGUCGUUGUACAGCCCCUGUAUACCUUUUCUUUCUUUCAUUUUUCGGCCUAGGCCUGUAACUACCUUCUCUAUUAAUUAAUACAAGUCCGGCAGUCUUUGCCGGUCCUCUUUCAAAAAAAAAAGUGUGAGUAAGUCUCUGUUUGCAAAUGUUCUUCAGAGGUGACGAAGAGCAGGGCCAAUUUCAUUCAUGUAUACUGCGAUGGCCGAUGGCUAGAUGCUCACCCUACAACCCAGAAGUCGUAUCCGUCAAGAUGCCACGACUGCAGAGUAGGAAAGUUAUAGAAAACUAUAAGCCCACAGAGUUUCUUAGCCCUUGUCUUUUCUUUGAAAAUUGAUGCUGCUAAUGCCACACGUCGAUAAUUUUCCUAACUUCUCAAAAGGGCCCAAGCCAAAGGAUACUUUCUAUUGAUUUUUUUACAAGCAAAGCAUCCUUAGCCAAACGAUGAUCCAACGUGAUUUGUACUCACUCCGUGUCGUUUGUUCGUUUAUUCGAUGCCCACGAGUCAAAGAAUAAGGUGUCAAAAUACUUGACGCUAGAGUUCUACACGUAUCUGGUUCCAGUGGCGGACCUACCAAUAGGGCGAGGUAGGGCGGCCGCCCUACCUAACCCUGGCAGCGAACCCCUAGUACCCCCCAUUUUUCCUCCAAGAAUCAAAGAUCCCACGCCCUCCAGCAAUGGCGUUCUGACGUUCUCGGGAGUCUGGAGUCUGGAGGAAGACGACGGCGGCGUUAGAAGCGAACAGCCCGAACAGGUAUGCUUAGAAUUCUUAGAUGGGCCAGGCAGUCAGCCCAAUUUGAUGCCUGAAUGGCCUAGUAUCCCGUCCGCAACUCCCCCGUCAUCUCCCUUCUCCCGUCCGCAACUCCCCCGUCUCCGCUCCUGUUCGAGCGCGGCCACCGCGCCACCAAGAAACGGCGAACCCUAGCGGCAUGGAGAGCGGCGAUCCUGAUCCAUCAGCAUUGGGGACUAGCGCCGGGAGCAGCCACGACAUCGGAGACGAGCAGCGCCAAGCAGGAGCGGCCGCUUCCGCGCCAUCUUCAGAGGCGUCAGCAGCGGCACCGCCGGCGGGCACAAGUAGCACGAGCACCAGUACGCCAGGUUCCCGUUCAUCAGUUACAAAGAAGCGGUACAGGAACACAGGUGAUUUAGAAAUUGGUUUGUGUUAGAUAACGAGUAGAAAAAUGGAUUAAUGAUUACUCACUAGUCAAUCAAUUGCACAUUUUUUAGAUUUGAAGAGUUUCUUCAGUAGCAAUUUAUCAAGUGGUUCAGCCCCAAGUACCCAUCAGAGUGAGAAUGCUGCUGUAGUUUCUGAAGAAGUGCUGGCUGAAGCUGUACCAGUAGAAGUUGAACCACCCGGAGAUGCUGAAAUGGGAGAUGUAGAAGCAGAUGGUUAACUUAUUCAGGUUGUUGACUCAAAUGCUCAUGUUGUUUCUGAUCCAGGACUUCGAAUACCUAUUGAGAGAUUUCAUCCUAAUAUUAGAGGUGAUGUUCAGAGAGCUUAUUUGUUAAAGGGACCAACCAAACCUUUUGGUCAUAAUUUUCCUCGCAGAUCAAAUGAUAAUAGGGCAUUUUAGAAUCAUGGCUGAAGACAUAUGAUUGGAUUGAAUACAGUGUGGCAAAGGAUGCAGCAUUUUGCUUCUACUGCUUUCUUUUUAAGCAAGAACCUAUUGAUAAAAAAUUUGGACAUGAUGCUUUCACCAAAGCAGGGUAUACAAAUUGGAAAAAUGCAUACCAUGGACUUCUUCAUGUUGGUGGGCCAAUAAGUUUUCACAACAGAGCAAGGGCAGCAAGCGUAGAUUUUAGGAAUGCAAAGGCAAGUGUCACACAUAAGGUUGAAACUCACAGCAAAGAUGCACAAGUGCGAUAUGAAACUCGUGUUACAACAGCUUUAGGUAUUGCUAGUUUUCUCAUUGCACAAGGCCUUUCAUUCCGUGGACAUGAUGAAACUAUUGCUUCCUUAAAUAGAGGAAAUAUUUUAGAGAAGGUUGAGUGGUACAAGAUAAGGGAUGAGGAGGUAAGGGUUGCAUUUGAGGAGCUGUGUCCAUUAAAUGCCCAAAUGAUUUCUCCCAAGAUUCAAAAGGACAUAUGUGAAAGUUAUGCAAUGGAGAUCAGCAAUGUGAUAAAGAAGGAGAUUGGUGAUAAAUGUUUCUCCGUUCUAAUUGAUGAAUCCCGUGAUGUGUCAAUAGCGGAACAAAUGGCUGUCAUUGUAAGGUUUGUGAACAACAAAGGAAUGGUUGUGGAAAGGUUUUUGGGUCUUCAACAUGUGCCAGAUACAACAUCAAAUGCAUUGAAGAAAGCUUUGGUUCAGAUGCUUGCCAAGUAUGAUUUACCUAUUGCAAGACUAAGAGGACAAGGGUACGAUGGAGCUUCAAAUAUGAGAGGUCAAUUCAACGGUCUGCAAAAUAAAAUUCGUGAUGAGAACCCAUAUGCCUUCUAUAUCCAUUGCUUUGCUCACCAGCUGCAGUUGGUUAUUGUUUCUGUUACAAUUUGCUGCUCAUCUUUCAAUGAUUUCUUCACCUAUGUGAGUAUGAUUGCAACCAGCGUUGGUUCAUCUUGCCAAAGGAAGGAUAAGCUGAUUUCAAAGCAUUGUGACACAAUUCUGCAGCAAUUGGAGAGUGGUGAGAUUUUUUCAGGAAAGGGAAAGAAUCAAAUGACUAGCUUGGUUAGACCUGGAGAUACAAGAUGGGGUCUCAUUUCAUUGAGUUAAUGUGGGAUUCUGUGGUCCGAGUGCUGUCCAUGAUUCAUGAAGAUGAGCGUAAUCCUGGUUCAGCAGGUGGUCUGGUGGAAAAAAUGGAGAGUUUUUCUUUUGUUCUAAAUCUGAAAUUGAUGCUGAAAGUGUUCCGUAUCACAAAUGAGUUGUCUCAACUACUCCAAAGGAAGGAUCAAAAUAUUGUCCAGGCUAUGUCAUUGCUAAUUGAUGUGAAAAUUGGUUUGACUAAAUUGAGAAAUGAAGGAUGGGAGCCGUUAUUUGAAGAAGUCAAAACAUUUUGUGUUGCAAAAGAGAUUCCAGUACCAAAUUUGAAUGAGAGAGUACCAAAAUGGGGGCGAACAAGGCUUGAUAAGAACUUAACCACUCUAGAUCAUCAUUUUCGUGUUGAUACUUUCCUUGCUGCACUUGAUGCUAUACUGACAGAGAUGGAUCAUCGCUUCAAUGAGGCAUCAUCAGAGUUACUUUGUUUGCUUUGCUUGUUUAGAUCCAAGAGACAACUUCUCAAAGUUUGAUGUUGAUAAGAUUUCUCGUCUAACGGAGAUCUAUGAUCAAGAUUUCUCAACUGUUGACCGUUCAAAUAUCAAGGAUCAACUUGAGACAUUCCUUCUCCAUGUGCAAAGAGUUGAAGAGUUCAAUACUUGUACAGAUCUUGGAAGUUUGGCAACGACGAUGGUUGAAGCUAAAAUGCAUACAGCUUUUUCAUUGGUAUAUCACCUUGUUGAGUUAGCAUUUCUCCUUUCUGUAGCAACGGCAUCCGUUGAAAGAGCGUUCUCAGCUAUGAAUAUGAUCAAGACUGAUUUGCGCAAUAGCAUGUCUGAUGAGUGGCUCAAUGACUUAAUUUGUGCUACAUUGAGAAGGAGAUCUUUGUAGGACUUGAUUUUGAAAAGGUUAAGAAAAGAUUCCAGUCUAUGAAAGAUCGGAGGAUGCAAUUUCCUAAGCCUCCUAGAGGAUCUAGUCAUGCUUAGUGAGUGGUUUUUAGUGGUCGUAUGUUUGUUUUUUUAUCAUGUUCACCAACUGUCCAACUUUGAUGCAAUAUGCAUAUUCUAUAUUCACUUUGUUAAGGUCUUAUGUGUGGGUGUAUGUGGUAUAUAGCUUUCGCUGGUUGAAGCUUGUGUUAGGUUGUCCGCCCUACCUACAUUUUUUUUCCUAGGUUCGCCACUGUCUGGUUCUCCACUUUGCCCCUCUUAGACUAUGUCCAACAUUCUCACUUAAUCAGACACUCUAUAUCUCUAUUUAGUUAUCCCCAUAAAAUUCAUCUCUAUAUUUUCAACAGUUACAUUGUUAUAUAUCUCUGAAGGGUUCUUAUUUUAACCGUUAAAAUUCAAACAACAAAAGUAGCAACAGCUUGAACCGGCAUGGUUCGUACAACAAAGUAAAUCACACAACUUGUUUGUUCAAAGAAGGCCACAUCACCUAAUUAAACGUGAUUUAAUUAUUUGGCUUAAAGAAGGCCUAGCACAUCCCAGACCAAUUGCAAAUGUAGCAAUCAGCUUGAACAGGUAUUUCAUCGAACAACUAAAGUGCAUGCAGUAGUAGCUCUGACCACGAGCAGCACCAAGUAGCCAAGCAGAUAGCUAACACCACCGACUGACCACGAAGCAGCACCAAGCAGCCAAGCAGAGCUACCACCUCCGACACUAGCAAGCAAAUCACACCAAACAUCAAAUCAACACACCGUGGCAUAAAAAGGAGCUUAGAACAAACGCCAGAAUCGGACCUGCUAGGCAGGCCAUGACCAGGGAUGACGUGCGGCGACGGAGCAGCAAGGCCCGAGGCCGAAGAUGGCCGGCGCUCACCUGCCCUUUUGACAACACGCGAACGGCGGGGUGCGGCUGUGAGCGCUUCUCACCGCUGCCGUGCUGGUGCGUGGGAGGAUGCCAGCAGGGCCGGAAUCACGCAGAUGGGCGACAGUGCGCGGGAGGGCAGAAAUGGGGCUGAGCACCCGCGGAUCGGUUCGGCACGCUGAACGGUAGAAGACGGAUGAGACGGCGAUGGAGCUCUCGAAGAUGAGUAAUAGGCUACCCUCCAUGGACCUCUUUGCGUUGUGCGUUUGAGGAGCGCAAGUGAGUCGAGGGAUGGCCCCUGCAUCUGGUCCUCUGUCCUCCGUCGAGAGAUGGCGAUGGUGUAGAUUGAUGUUGAGUAGUUGACGUCUACUUCGGUGAUACGGGGAUUUGAUUACGUUAGGACGUGAGGUAACGUACGUACUCGGUUUUAUAAACGUAGAGUGAUGCUCCUUGGCCUCCUNNNNNNNNNNNNNNNNNNNNNNNNNNNNNNNNNNNNNNNNNNNNNNNNNNNNNNNNNNNNNNNNNNNNNNNNNNNNNNNNNNNNNNNNNNNNNNNNNNNNGGGGGGGGGGGGGGUGCCGAGCUCGAAACCAUGAGCCUCAGGCCGUCCGCGCCAUAUCCUCGUACAAGGAUGUGUGGGAUAGGUAGAGGCACAAUCACAAGGCAGCUGUGCACAGCGAAACACAGCAAGUUGAGCCGACCUUGCGGAAGCAGGCGCGGAACGAAGCUUCAGUGGCAGGCCGACCUUGCGGCCGAUGAAGACAGCAGACCGGACUCACGAAUUAAUCUGGCCAACAGCAGUGGAAAUUGGGAUGGUGCUGGAGGUCGAGCUCAGCGGGAGCUCGCGAUGAAGGCCGGCGCUCGCAAGAACUCAUGACGGAGGGCAGGGCUCAUGCUCUCAGGCAAGGGAGCCCGCAACCGAAGGCAAUGGGUAGGCCGACGAUUUUGGAAGAAGCAGAGGGGCCUGUUCGAGGAACAGGGACAUACGUGUAGCAAACGAGCUAAAAUUUACCUUCUUUGAGCUUAAGUGAAGUCAUUAGAGCUUAAUGGAACCAAUGAACAGCCUUGCACCCAAGUAAAAUGACCCCUUUUGCCCCUCACGAGCUAAACAUGUGUUUAAGCCAUAACUCAAUUUUUUUUCUUAAGAACUUAAAAAUCUGCCUAACUAAGAGUUGUAUAACUCACAAAUUCUAACAACUUUUGUAAUUAUCUUUUUGCUUGAAACUGAUCAGAAAAGGGUCAAAAUAUCGAAUUACAAAUCUGGGCCGAAAGGUGCAGAUCAAAUAAAGUCAGAACUUUGGAGCCCUUUUUCUCACAUUUUCGAAUGUAUGCUCAUGACAAACCUUUUAUGAAAGUUUUAGUGCUACGAGUCCUUAACAACUUUGAUUUUUGAGCAUAGGCCAAAAUCUGCACAGAAGGUUUUCAAAAACGAGGUCAAACGCAGCUAAAAUGGUCAACACUGUCAAAAAUGGCUGAAGUGUUCAAGUCUGAAAGUUUCGGAUUUUGCCAAACUUUGAAGCGUUUUAUCUUCAAUUCAGCUUCGAAUUUGAAAUCAAGACAAUUACAAGAAUUGAACUUAGAUCCUAGGCCUACAACUUUUGUAAAGGGAGUAGGGGUUGUGCAGUUCAAAAAUCUGGAGAAGAUCGCGCUCGAAGAUUGCCCUAUCGUCCGAUCCCGCAAAUCCCGCACCAGAGCUCACGCCGAGCACACGUGCGCCGCGCUCCCCUCACCGGCCGCCCCGUGGCACGUGCUCCUCGUCGCUGCCCCGUCGAGUUGCCCCCUGCCGCUGCUCUAUCCGCACGCGCCCUGCGACGCUCUGGCACGCCACCGCCGCCGUGCCCGCCAACGCACGCCCGAGACAAGACGCCACAGCUCCUCGGCCUCGCCUGCAGCGCCCUGAUGGAGCCGUUCACCCGUGCACGCCUGCUUCGCUUGCGGCGCCCGCCUGCAAGCACGCCCGCCAAGUCGCCUCCCCUAUCCGCCAAUGGUGCCCGCCGUGGCCGGUCCACCCCGCAGCAGCGUACUAGCGCCCCAUCCUCCAAACCACCCUCCUCAAGUCUCCUGCCUCCUUUCCAAGCCCCCGUGCCCUCCAACAGAAAGUUCUUGCCCCAAACCGGCAGCUCGAGAGGUUCCCGUUCCCUGACGAAAUCUGGCCAGCUCCCUCCGCCUCUGUCUAAUAGCCCACGCCUGAGGCUCCUCCACUUCCUCAGCCACACCCUCGGACACUCCUCGUCGCCUGCCUUCCAUCCCAUCGCCCGGAAUCCCACUUUCCCCAACUCCAGGAACUCCACCCGCCACCCCCACUGCCUCACCGCUGAACACCAUCUUCCAGUCAUCCUCGUCGUCAACCAACCACUCAAACGGAACCGCGGUAAGACACUGAUCAUCAUGCUCGCGCUCGAUUUCCUCUAGGGUCAACUUUCCGCGCUCGUUCCCGCUCAUGUCGACGGCAUUCCUCGCCGCCCGCGGAGCCCCUUCUGCGCCGCCGCGAUCCGCGUCUCUGGACCUGCUUCUGGGAGCCGUUGGCCCUGCUUCGCAGCCCCUCCUCGCCCCCAAGCCGCCCCGCUGCCCUCCCCCUACCGCCGCUGGCCCAAUCCCGAACGCCGGCCAAGCCUGUCUGUUUUGCUGUGCUGUGCGUUCUGUUCCAGAGGAAGAAGAAGGCCAGGGGUCUAGUUGCGAGUGGAAAAGAAAGUCAGGGGGUUAUGGGGAAAAUCGUGGGAUUUAUGUUUGAGGUGGGUUUUUGUCCAGGGGUGUAGGCGCAAGAUCCAGGGGCCUCUACGCAUUUAACCCAUAGACUGGAGGGCUAGAUUGGAAGAUUGCCUCGGUUUUCUUUUUUUUUCCUGGAUCUAAAAAGGCUGAAAGUUUAAAAAGGCAUAGAAAAGUGUAGAAAAAUGCUAAAAAUGCAAGAUAAAUUUUGUUAGACUCAAUAUUCUGUUUAGUUUCAUAUAAAAAUAAGUUUACACAUGUCUCUGUUAGAAUUAAUGUUAUAUGAUUUAAUCCUUGUUUAAGCUAGUUUAAAUCAUAGCAAAUCACAGAAAAAUGCUAAAAAGGUAAAUCCAACUCUCAAGUGUUUGUUUCAGAGAAUAAAAGCUUAGAAAAAUGGUUUAGAGCCUAGCUUAGACAUUUAAGUUACUGUUUUAGUUUAUUAAUUGAAAUCUACGGGUAGAUUUUUCUUUUUGCAUAAUGAUAAAUCCAGAGAUGAUAAAAAUAUGAAACCACUUGGAAUAAUUCAGGAAUGAGGUGUAGUUCACAGGAAAAUUAUGAGACUUGGUUUGAAAGUUAAUGAAAACCUCUUUCCUUUUUAGAGAAAGAUAAAAAGGAAUAAUAUAUGAAAUGCCUUUCAGACUCUUGGUUUUGCAUGUUGAAUCAUUUGCACCUGCAUUUCAUGUAGAAGUUAACAUCGCCGACGGUACAUACGAGCUGCACCCGACGCUCGAAGAGGAAGCUGUAGCGGAUCUACACCACGCCGAAGUCGAGCCCGUGCCAGAGCAAGCCGAGGACCAGUUCGGUAACUCCGAGUGUGAAGGCAAGCCCCGGAUCAUAAAUUCCUAUGUUUAAAUACUUGCAAUAUAUUGGUUGUUUUGAUUAUGCAUUUACGUUUAUAGGAAUUGAUUGAAACCAUAGAUGCAUGAAUAUAGUGCCCCUUGAUCUGAACACUAGUAUAAGAAGUCGAGUAGUUGCAAUGCUAAAUAGGACUCGGUAAAAGUCGAGUGAUUUCCUGUCACUCGCGAGUUAUAGGAGUUGAAUGAUUUUCUUUUCGUUGCAACUAUAAGGAUGAUGGACGGGGCUGGGCUUAUGUUGGUACUCGGUGGUUUGCCCCGUCUGUCUACUUGAAAUUGGACUAAGGUCGAAAGGUGAUGGUGUUCGUGAUCAAGUGUUUGAAAGUACUAAUCUCAUACCUAGUAUAGGUGGGGAAGCCUAGUACCUGAUUGAACUGGGACGUGGCUUAUACCCCUGCUGUCCUUGGAACGUCGUUCCCAUGGUGCAUCAUGUGGGUGCAAUGGCGGUCAUAGUACGGUAGAGACCGGGACUGUGGAGCAUUGCAUGCCAAAGGAAGUUUGGACCUGACACGUACCUAGGGAUCGAUGGGGACGGCUGACAAGUGAAGCGACCCUUCGUGGUGCGCGGAUGUCGUGGGAUUAGGUUCGCCAUGCAUGGUUAAUAAAUUCGAAUCGAUUCGUCUGCCUCUCACAGUGUGGGACUACUUGAUCGCUAUGCUACACUGAGUAAGAAUGAAAGAUGAUGAUGAUAUAAUAUUGUUACUUGUUAUUAAUUGCUUGGAAAACUAUGCUUGUUUAGUAUAGUUGCUAACUUAGAAUGAUAAACAACAGUAGAACUGGUGGCUAAAAUGUUGAAAGUAAGGACCUACACUAGUCGCUUUUGGCAAAACAAAACCCAGAGCCAAAAAGCUUACAUGUAGUGUUAGUGGAUUAGUACCACAGGUCGGUUAAGUCUUGUUGAGCAUAGUUGCUCAGCCUUGUUUGUGGCACCUCUUUUCAGGUGAGGAUGAUGUUUCUGAGUUCGCUGCUAGUUCUGCUUGGUCUACCCAGCUCCCUCCGGGUUGGACGGUCAAGUGGGAUCCCUCCUCGGACGGCGAGGACAGGGGUCAGUGAUGUCAUGAUCGGCUUCUUCAUGAUAUCGUGCAUCGACGUUUAGUUUCCGUUCGUUUUAUUUCCGCUGCUUGAACACUCUACAAACUAUGUUUGAAUUUCUGAACUUUAUGUUGUAAUAAAUCGAUGCACUUUGUUUAAUCUGGAUGGACUGUUGUAAUCUCUGUAACCACUCACCAUCGUGUGAGUUUUGCUUUCUCGAUCCUGCGUUACGUGGUUUUAUCGGAGGAAAUCCGACGGACGACCAAGUUGACUUGUUUAAAGUACAUGAUCGCGUUUAGGCGACUUAAGUGUGCUUUAGCCAAGUUAAUUUAGGCGGUUCCGCCACAGCUGGUACCAGAGCUUGAAAGCAUGACAGAGAAAACAACAGACUUUAAAUACCUUUUCUAAAAUAAAACUUGCAAGAAAUUAGUUUGAAAAUUCCGUACGAUCGUUAAGGAUGAUCUUAGUACGAGAAGCCCUAGGGGAAUUUUGGGGUUAUUUAAGGUGGCUAUUAGCUAUUGGUUAUUUUACUAACUUCUAGCACUUUCGCCCACGUGUAUUAUACAUGCGCAGAGUUCCGCAUCGCGAGUAUGCGAGAGGUGGUAGGAAGUUCUAUUCAAAAGAACCUAUCAUCGCGGUUGUUUUCGCCCACGUUUAUUAUACGUGCGCAAGGUUCCGUAUGAUGAUUCAUGCGAAGGGUGGUAUGGUUCGAUUCCAACGAGCCUAUCAUCACGGUUGUUCGCCCACGUUUAUGAUACGUGCGCAUGAUUCCGCAUCACGAGUAUGCGAAGGGUUAUAUGGUCCUAUUCAAAGGGGCCUAUUUCCACGGUUGUUGCGCUGUCCAUGCAGCGUUAAACGCAUGGGUGCCAUUUCUAUAGUGAAUGGUAAUGAAUGGGGACGCUUUCGUGAGUGCUGGCAUGAAAGGUUCAUGUGGUAUUGUGUUUUUCUGCAGGUACACUAACCACGUUCGUUUAGGAAAACGAUAUUAGAAACCCGACUAGAUACUAUAGGGAGCGAUGUAAUUGUUGCCUCGCCACCGGCACUAAUCACGUAAGUCCAAUUUUUGGCAAUUAUUUUGGUUGAGAGGAUGAUGUAGGUCGUGCAUGCAUCAUGAACUAAAAUACGUGAAACCGAACCAUUAAAUCGACCUUACUCAUGUGUUUUAAGUUUUUUUUUUCCGCGUUAUGGAUUUUCUAGCUACCCUUUUCAGCAUGGUGUCUUAUCAAAAUCUUUUGGGUUGUUUCCAUGUGUUAUCUACAGAAACUUUAUAUAAGAAAAGUGUGUAAAAACGUUUUAUUAUGCCACUGGUAAAAUUUGGUAAUUUUUCCCAAAGGAUUUGCGAGCAAUGACAAAAAAUUUGUAACUCCUUAUUUCCUGGAAAUACAGUUUGUGCACCUGUUAUAGUCUUCCUGUUUCGACUCCCUUAAGGACAUUUUCUGCUAGGCACUGCUUAAGAAAAGCUGUAGAGCACUGUUUGAAGAACCUUGUGGUAAAUAUUCAGCUUAUUUAUAUCUCUGGUUUGGGAGUUAUGCUCAGUUUAUUGCCACACUGUCCCUGGAAAUUCCAGCAUGUGCCACCUGCCAAAGAUCUGAGUAUAUCACCCUGUUAGGAUCUGUUUUCACUCCACUUAUGAAUACCAAACUUGUUACCAAUUAUCAGAAGGGAAUGUUGGUAAAAUUUGGGAAUUUUUGGAUGAGUACUUGUUGAGUUAUGAGCUUUUUCUCUAGCCUACCAGAAUCUGUUUUUAUCCUGAGUUUUAAUCUCACGUUUCUUUUAUCACUCCUUGGUUCCAGAUGGCCGCUCCUGGGCACGUGAUGCGUGGCACGGAUGGCACCUCCCACUCCACGUGCCUACACUUCGAGGGUUUUCCCGCUAUCUUGUGGGACACCUUGAGGUGGUUUGGGUACCAGUCGCCGCCUCUUUACGCGGGACGCGAGUACCUGGAGCACGGGGUGCAAAGGUGCAGCGUGCGUGUGGUCGUACCUCCACCCCCAGUGCAGCCACAGUGGCCCCAGCUUGAGGUUUCGACAUAUGGUCAUACCCUCGAGGAUACUUGGGAGUCCGCUGCCCUGCAGGCCCUCACUCAGUUCUGCAGACUACACCCUUUCGAGGUCCUUUUGGAUCCGAUUGGCUUGUUCCCCGCUAGGGACAGACUGGACGCAGACUGGCUUGAUAGGGUGAACAACAUGGAGGUGUUGGUCACCUCACACCCGCAGGUCACCCUCUCCACCGCAACGCGUUGUAUGAAUGCGUUGUACCGACUGGUCGAGCUCCAGGGGAGAGCUAUGGCUGUCUUGGCUCGUAUAGCUGUGGACACCCAGGAGCAUCUCAAUACCACCAAGAGAGAUUUGGUGGAACAGUCGUACCAGCUCAUCCAGAGGGGUAUACGGAUCUCUGACAUGGAGACCCGGAUCACCGAGCUAGAGGAGGAGGUGACAGAUAUGGAGCACGAUAUGGUAUUGCUUGCAGAGGAGAAGCUAGAGGUUGAGAUGGAGCUAGCUGUUGCUAAUGCGCACUUGGAUGAGCACCACGCUGAGCUCAAUGCCAUCCAUGCGCAGGAGCAGCAGGGGGAGAAUGACCCGAUGGAGGAGGAGGAGGAGGAGGAGGACCCCGAGGAGAUCGAGGGUGUCUCGAGCAUGGACUUCGAGGGCGUUCAGUCUCCGCCCCGAGUUGGUGACGCCCCUUCUCCGGCGCACAGCGCUUCCUCCGUGGGCAACUUAGAUGACUUCUAGGUUUUUGUUGUAGCGAGUUGGUCUUCUGUUGUUACUCCUCGGCAACCUAUAUUUUGGAUGGCGAUGUAAUAGGUUAGCCUCGAGUUGAGUACCCUUGCUGCCAUAGACUUGUUAUGUAUGCAUGGACAUGCUUUUGUCAUGACCGGCGAUGUAACCGAAAACUUGGCAGAAAUAUAGUUGUUGUUUGGUCUCAGUUUUAACCCUAUCUCCACUCACUUUUGAACUGAUAUUUAAAUACCAAAGUUGUGCAAAAACUUGUGUUCUAACCGCUCGUAAAAUUUCAGCUCCUUUCGAUCUGUUAAACUCGUGUUAGAAGCCAAAACUUCACCGCUCAGAUUGCUGAAAAACAGCCGGACAACGACUCACUCAGCUCACUUUUCAAUCUCUUUAUCUUAUGUUUUGGUCAGCGAGCGUAAUACAAAAGUUGUGGCAUAUGAAAUGCGCUAACUACUGACCAAAGAUGAGAAACAAUGUGCAUAAAGAAGAAGAGAUAUGCACCUACUCAAUAAAAGGAUCUUAUUGUUGUUUUUCUCAGGAUCCGCAAGAUUUAUGUUUAUGAUCCCGCACAUAAUUUUUCCUUGUUUUUAAGCAAGCUUUCGAAUUAUGUGACUAAUGGAAAGAUACCCUCUUGCAGAUGGUGCGCACUGCACGCUUAAGCUCGAUCCCAAGUGGUAGCGAGGAUAAUCGAGCACCUCCGCCGCCACCGCCUCCCCCGCCUUCGCUAGAGGCGAUCUUGGCUGCACAGACAGAGCUCUUGCGACACAUCGUCCAAGGGCAGCAACACCAGCCUCAGGGAGGAAGGGGUCAUCAGCAGCCCCAGAUUGCUCAUUAUGAGGAUUUCUUAGGGACCCAGCCCCCGCUCUUCCACAAGACUGAGGAUCCUCUCGAUGCUGAUGCAUGGAUUCACAUUCUGGAAUCCAAGUUCGAGCUUCUUACUACGCCUUGCACCGAUGACAACAAGGCACGGUUUGCAGCCCAGCAGCUGCGUGGUUCUGCCCGCCUCUGGUGGGACCACUACCACGCCAUGCUGCCGGCUGACCACAUCGUCAGCUGGGACGAGUUCAAGACCGCUUUCAGAGGCCAUCAUAUCCCUGAGGGCCUAAUGGAGUGCAAGCUCAAUGAGUUCCUGGCUCUCACCCAGGGAAGUCGCGACGUCCUGCAUUACGCACAGACCUUCAACGACCUCUGCCGCUAUGCCAGCUAUCACGCAGAUACGGAUGAGAAGAAGCGGGAUCGGUUCCGCAGGGGCUUGAGUCUCGAACUCAAGGAAAGGCUGAACCCCAUCAAAGUGGAUACCUACAACGAGCUGGUGAAUCUGGCCAUUUCCCAGGAAGACUGCAUGAAGGCCCUCAAGGUCGACCUGAAGCGGAAAGCUCCCAUGAUAUCACCUAGCCCGCCUGCUCGGAAAUUCAGGAUGGUUCCCCCUUCAGCACCUCGCAGGCCCGCGCAGCCUGGGAGAUGGGUUGCUCGCCCUCCACCACCGGCAGCACCUCGUUUCCCCGGUUUCCAGCCGCAGGCGCCUCAGCGCAACCUUCCACCGCCGCCGCGCCCUGCAAAUGGUAACCGCUGCUUCACCUGCGGCAACAUGGGACACUUUGCCAAGGACUGCCCCAGAAACAAGAAUCAACGCCCCGGCCAGAGCAAUGCAAUGGUGAACAAGGGAAAGAAGCCCAAAGUACAAGUUCGUCAUGGCAGGCUAAACUUCACCAAUGUGGCAGAACUCCCAGAAGGCGCACCGGUGAUGACGGGUACAUUCCUUAUUCAUAAUCAACCAGUUUUGAUUUUAUUUGAUUCCGGAGCAUCUCAUAGUUUCAUCGGAAGUAAAACUGGUGCUAGAUGUGGGUUAAGGUUCUGUCACACCAAAGGGUCGUAUAUGAUCUCUACCCCGGGUGGGAAAAUAGCCUCAGAUCAAAUGAACCUCAAUGUACCUAUCAAGUUAGGAAGAACCCUCUUUAAGGAAAAUCUUAUUAUUCUCGGUCUAGAGGGAAUAGAUAUUAUCUUGGGUAUGGAUUGGAUGACUCGACACCGAGUAAUGCUAGAUAUCUCCGCCCGAGCUGUCCACAUAGACUCACCACUGUAUGGCACCUCCACUAUCCACUUACCCCACCGAGAGUGCGUAAACUCCUGUGCUUAUCCUGUGGUUGAAGCCCAACUGGAAGAUAUCCCCAUUGUUUGUGAGUAUCCAGAUGUAUUCCCGGAUGACCUGCCAGGCAUGCCACCUGACAGGGAUAUCGAGUUUGCUAUUGAGUUGCAACCAGGCACGGCACCAAUAUCCAAGAGGCCGUAUCGAAUGCCACCCGCAGAGCUGGCAGAACUGAAAACCCAAUUACAUGAACUAUUGGAAAAGGGUUUCAUUCGCGCAAGUACGUCACCUUGGGGCUGUCCAGCACUGUUUGUGAAGAAGAAGGACGAGAGUCUACGCAUGUGUGUGGACUACCGCCCUCUCAAUGCGGUGACGAUUAAGAAUAAAUAUCCAUUGCCCCGCAUUGAUGUCCUAUUUGAUCAGUUAGCUGGAGCCAGAGUAUUCUCCAAGAUAGACCUUCGUUCAGGCUAUCAUCAGAUCAAGAUCCGACCGUGUGACAUUCCCAAAACGGCUUUCUCCACACGGUAUGGACUCUACGAGUAUCUAGUUAUGUCGUUUGGGCUUACUAAUGCGCCUGCUUAUUUCAUGUAUCUCAUGAAUUCGGUGUUUAUGCCCGAGCUGGACAAAUUCGUCGUGGUAUUCAUUGAUGACAUCCUAGUGUACUCGAAGAAUGAGAAGGAACAUGCCGAGCAUCUUCGCAUUGUUCUUCAACGCUUGAGAGAUCAUCAGCUGUACGCGAAGUUCUCCAAGUGUGAGUUCUGGUUGGAGAAUGUUAAAUUCUUGGGACACACUAUUUCUCGAGAUGGCAUUGCAGUCGACCCCAGCAAAGUGCAAGAGGUCAUGGACUGGAAGCCACCCACUUCGGUUCAUCAAAUCCGAAGCUUUCUUGGUCUAGCAGGCUACUAUCGGCGAUUCAUUCCGGAUUUCUCAAAAAUAGCUAAGCCUAUGACUGAGUUAUUGAAGAAAGGAGUCAAAUUCACAUGGAGUGACAAAUGUGAAGAAGCUUUCCACACCUUGAGAAGACUUUUAACCUCUGCCCCAGUCCUAGCUCAACCUGACACUACUAAGCCGUUUGACGUGUAUUGUGACGCCUCCGGCACUGGACUUGGGUGUGUUCUCAUGCAAGACAACCGAGCCAUUGCCUAUGCCUCACGAGCGUUACGGCCACAUGAGCUGAAUUACCCAACACAUGAUCUUGAAUUGGCAGCCGUGAUUCAUGCCUUGAAGAUGUGGAGACACUAUCUUAUGGGCACUCAUUGCAAUGUCUACACUGAUCACAAGAGCCUCAAGUAUAUCUUUACUCAAGCGGAUCUUAACAUGCGUCAGAGAAGGUGGUUGGAAUUAAUUAAGGAUUAUGAUCUGGAAGUGCAUUAUCACCCCGGCAAAGCAAAUGUAGUUGCCGAUGCUCUCAGUCGCAAGGCCCAUUGCAAUUGUUUGUCAGCAACUAACUUCGCAGAAACCAUAUGUCAUGAGAUGGGAAAACUUAGUUUGGAAAUUAUUUCCCAUGACACCUUAGGUCAUGUUUCCAUUGAAUCUACCUUAGAGGACCAAAUUGGGCUGAUACAAUUAGAAGAUGAGGAAAUAAAGCUAAUUAAGGAGAAAGUUGCACAGAGAAAUGAGGGGUAUAAACAUUUCCGACAAGAUGAGAAGGGAAUAGUGUACUAUGAGAACCAACUUGUUGUCCCAUCUAACCCCGACCUUAGGAAGCAAAUCCUGGAUGAAGCACAUCUCUCCAAGUUCUCGAUUCAUCCUGGCAGCAAUAAGAUGUAUCAUGACCUCCGUCAAACAUUUUGGUGGAGUGGAAUGAAACCGGAAAUUGCACGCUAUGUCUCGGAAUGCGACACGUGUCAACGUAUCAAGGCAAGCCACUUGAAGGUAGCAGGUACCUUGCAACCGCUACCUAUUCCAUCUUGGAAAUGGGAAGAUAUCAGCAUGGAUUUCAUUGUGGGAUUACCCGUUACUUCUCAGCGCCAUGAUUCUAUUUGGGUUAUAGUGGACCGUCUUACCAAGACGGCACAUUUCCUUCCUGUUCACACUACCUACACCGCUCGGAAAUAUGCAGAAUUGUAUCUUGACCGUAUUGUGUCCCUACAUGGUGUGCCGAAGACAAUCAUCUCUGAUCAAGGAUUUCAAUUCAUCGCACGCUUUUGGGAACAACUACAGUCCGCACUUGGCACUAAGCUAAUCCGUAGCUCAACAUAUCACCCUCAGACUGAUGGCCAAACAGAAAGGGUGAAUCAAAUUCUAGAAGACAUGCUACGUGCUUGCGUCAUACAUUAUGACAAGAAUUGGGAUAAAUGUUUGCCAUUAGCAGAAUUUUCCUAUAACAAUAGCUACCAAGCUAGCUUGAAAAUGGCACCAUUUGAAGCCCUAUAUGGUUGAAGGUGUCGAACACCUUUAAAUUGGUCACAAGCAGGAGAAAGACAAACCUACGGGCCUGAUCUAGUAGUUGAAGCCGAAGAGCAAGUUAAAAUAAUUCAGGCAAAUCUUAAAGCCGCCCAAUCACGACAGAAAAGCUAUUUUGACAAAAGGAGAAGGUCCUUACAGUUUGACAUUGGUGAUCAUGUAUACCUCCGAGUCUCACCGACUAAGGGUGUACAACGGUUUAGGAUCAAAGGAAAAUUGGCUCCCCGAUACAUUGGUCCCUAUGAGAUCGUGGAAAUAUGCGGACCAGUCGCAUAUAGAGCUCGCGAUGAAGGCCGGCGCUCGCAAGAACUCAUGACGGAGGGCAGGGCUCAUGCUCUCAGGCAAGGGAGCCCGCAACCGAAGGCAAUGGGUAGGCCGACGAUUUUGGAAGAAGCAGAGGGGCCUGUUCGAGGAACAAGGACAUACGUGUAGCAAACGAGCUAAAAUUUACCUUCUUUGAGCUUAAGUGAAGUCAUUAGAGCUUAAUGGAACCAAUGAACAGCCUUGCACCCAAGUAAAAUGACCCCUUUUGCCCCUCACGAGCUAAACAUGUGUUUAAGCCAUAACUCAAUUUUUUUUCUUAAGAACUUAAAAAUCUACCUAACUAAGAGUUGUAUAACUCACAAAUUCUAACAACUUUUGUAAUUAGCUUUUUGCUUGAAACUGAUCAGAAAAGGGUCAAAAUAUCGAAUUACAAAUCUGGGCCGAAAGGUGCAGAUCAAAUAAAGUCAGAACUUUGGAGCCCUUUUUCUCACAUUUUCGAAUGUAUGCUCAUGACAAACCUUUUAUGAAAGUUUUAGUACUACGAGUCCUUAACAACUUUGAUUUUUGAGCAUAGGCCAAAAUCUGCACAGAAGGUUUUCAAAAACGAGGUCAAACGCAGCUAAAAUGGUCAACACUGUCAAAAAUGGCUGAAGUGUUCAAGUCUGAAAGUUUCGGAUUUUGCCAAACUUUGAAGCGUUUUAUCUUCAAUUCAGCUUCGAAUUUGAAAUCAAGACAAUUACAAGAAUUGAACUUAGAUCCUAGGCCUACAACUUUUGUAAAGGGAGUAGGGGUUGUGCAGUUCAAAAAUCUGGAGAAGAUCGCGCUCGAAGAUUGCCCUAUCGUCCGAUCCCGCAAAUCCCGCACCAGAGCUCACGCCGAGCACGCGUGCGCCGCGCUCCCCUCACCGGCCGCCCCGUGGCACGUGCUCCUCGUCGCUGCCCCGUCGAGUUGCCCCCUGCCGCUGCUCUAUCCGCACGCGCCCUGCGACGCUCUGGCACGCCACCGCCGCCGUGCCCGCCAACGCACGCCCGAGACAAGACGCCACAGCUCCUCGGCCUCGCCUGCAGCGCCCUAAUGGAGCCGUUCACCCGUGCACGCCUGCUUCGCUUGCGGCGCCCGCCUGCAAGCACGCCCGCCAAGUCGCCUCCCCUAUCCGCCAAUGGUGCCCGCCGUGGCCGGUCCACCCCGCAGCAGCGUACUAGCGCCCCAUCCUCCAAACCACCCUCCUCAAGUCUCCUGCCUCCUUUCCAAGCCCCCGUGCCCUCCAACAGAAAGUUCUUGCCCCAAACCGGCAGCUCGAGAGGUUCCCGUUCCCUGACGAAAUCUGGCCAGCUCCCUCCGCCUCUGUCUAAUAGCCCACGCCUAAGGCUCCUCCACUUCCUCAGCCACACCCUCGGACACUCCUCGUCGCCUGCCUUCCACCCCAUCGCCCGGAAUCCCACUUUCCCCAACUCCAGGAACUCCACCCGCCACCCCCACUGCCUCACCGCGGAACACCAUCUUCCAGUCAUCCUCGUCGUCAACCAACCACUCAAACGGAACCACGGUAAGACACUGAUCAUCAUGCUCGCGCUCGAUUUCCUCUGGGGUCAACUUUCCGCGCUCGUUCCCGCUCAUGUCGACGGCGUUCCUCGCCGCCCGCGGAGCCCCUUCUGCGCCGCCGCGAUCCGCGUCUCUGGACCUGCUUCUGGGAGCCGUUGGCCCUGCUUCGCAGCCCCUCCUCGCCCCCAAGCCGCCCCGCUGCCCUCCCCCUACCGCCGCUGGCCCAAUCCCGAACGCCGGCCAAGCGUGUCUGUUUUGCUGUGCUGUGCGUUCUGUUCCAGAGGAAGAAGAAGGCCAGGGGUCUAGUUGCGAGUGGAAAAGAAAGUCAGGGGGUUAUGGGGAAAAUCGUGGGAUUUAUGUUUGAGGUGGGUUUUUGUCCAGGGGUGUAGGCGCAAGAUCCAGGGGCCUCUACGCAUUUAACCCAUAGACUGGAGGGCUAGAUUGGAAGAUUGCCUCGGUUUUCUUUUUUUUUCCUGGAUCUAAAAAGGCUGAAAGUUUAAAAAGGCAUAGAAAAGUGUAGAAAAAUGCUAAAAAUGCAAGAUAAAUUUUGUUAGACUCAAUAUUCUGUUUAGUUUCAUAUAAAAAUAAGUUUACACAUGUCUCUGUUAGAAUUAAUGUUAUAUGAUUUAAUCCUUGUUUAAGCUAGUUUAAAUCAUAGCAAAUCACAGAAAAAUGCUAAAAAGGUAAAUCCAACUCUCAAGUGUUUGUUUCAGAGAAUAAAAGCUUAGAAAAAUGGUUUAGAGCCUAGCUUAGACAUUUAAGUUACUGUUUUAGUUUAUUAAUUGAAAUCUACGGGUAGAUUUUUCUUUUUGCAUAAUGAUAAAUCCAGAGAUGAUAAAAAUAUGAAACCACUUGGAAUAAUUCAGGAAUGAGGUGUAGUUCACAGGAAAAUUAUGAGACUUGGUUUGAAAGUUAAUGAAAACCUCUUUCCUUUUUAGAGAAAGAUAAAAAGGAAUAAUAUAUGAAAUGCCUUUCAGACUCUUGGUUUUGCAUGUUGAAUCAUUUGCACCUGCAUUUCAUGUAGAAGUUAACAUCGCCGACGGUACAUACGAGCUGCACCCGACGCUCGAAGAGGAAGCUGUAGCGGAUCUACACCACGCCGAAGUCGAGCCCGUGCCAGAGCAAGCCAAGGACCAGUUCGGUAACUCCGAGUGUGAAGGCAAGCCCCGGAUCAUAAAUUCCUAUGUUUAAAUACUUGCAAUAUAUUGGUUGUUUUGAUUAUGCAUUUACGUUUAUAGGAAUUGAUUGAAACCAUAGAUGCAUGAAUAUAGUGCCCCUUGAUCUGAACACUAGUAUAAGAAGUCGAGUAGUUGCAAUGCUAAAUAGGACUCGGUAAAAGUCGAGUGAUUUCCUGUCACUCGCGAGUUAUAGGAGUUGAAUGAUUUUCUUUUCGUUGCAACUAUAAGGAUGAUGGACGGGGCUGGGCUUAUGUUGGUACUCGGUGGUUUGCCCCGUCUGUCUACUUGAAAUUGGACUAAGGUCGAAAGGUGAUGGUGUUCGUGAUCAAGUGUUUGAAAGUACUAAUCUCAUACCUAGUAUAGGUGGGGAAGCCUAGUACCUGAUUGAACUGGGACGUGGCUUAUACCCCUGCUGUCCUUGGAACGUCGUUCCCAUGGUGCAUCAUGUGGGUGCAAUGGCGGUCAUAGUACGGUAGAGACCGGGACUGUGGAGCAUUGCAUGCCAAAGGAAGUUUGGACCUGACACGUACCUAGGGAUCGAUGGGGACGGCUGACAAGUGAAGCGACCCUUCGUGGUGCGCGGAUGUCGUGGGAUUAGGUUCGCCAUGCAUGGUUAAUAAAUUCGAAUCGAUUCGUCUGCCUCUCACAGUGUGGGACUACUUGAUCGCUAUGCUACACUGAGUAAGAAUGAAAGAUGAUGAUGAUAUAAUAUUGUUACUUGUUAUUAAUUGCUUGGAAAACUAUGCUUGUUUAGUAUAGUUGCUAACUUAGAAUGAUAAACAACAGUAGAACUGGUGGCUAAAAUGUUGAAAGUAAGGACCUACACUAGUCGCUUUUGGCAAAACAAAACCCAGAGCCAAAAAGCUUACAUGUAGUGUUAGUGGAUUAGUACCACAGGUCGGUUAAGUCUUGUUGAGCAUAGUUGCUCAGCCUUGUUUGUGGCACCUCUUUUCAGGUGAGGAUGAUGUUUCUGAGUUCGCUGCUAGUUCUGCUUGGUCUACCCAGCUCCCUCCGGGUUGGACGGUCAAGUGGGAUCCCUCCUCGGACGGCGAGGACAGGGGUCAGUGAUGUCAUGAUCGGCUUCUUCAUGAUAUCGUGCAUCGACGUUUAGUUUCCGUUCAUUUUAUUUCCGCUGCUUGAACACUCUACAAACUAUGUUUGAAUUUCUGAACUUUAUGUUGUAAUAAAUCGAUGCACUUUGUUUAAUCUGGAUGGACUGUUGUAAUCUCUGUAACCACUCACCAUCGUGUGAGUUUUGCUUUCUCGAUCCUGCGUUACGUGGUUUUAUCGGAGGAAAUCCGACGGACGACCAAGUUGACUUGUUUAAAGUACAUGAUCGCAUUUAGGCGACUUAAGUGUGCUUUAGCCAAGUUAAUUUAGGCGGUUCCGCCACAAUACGGCGCGAGAAGAGCGGCGUUAACUCUCUGGCGGCACAAGGAGAUGCAGGGCGCUCCUGGUCCGCAGGCCCGUGAGGAUGCAGUCUAGCCACACGAGAGGAACGGGCGCAACGAAGGCAUACUACCGAGACGAAAAAUCUCUCCAUCCAUCGCUCGGUCAUCAGUGCAACUGUGUGCAAGCAAGCCAGACAAGCAAGAUGACUACCGCUAUCUACUAGCUUUGAUCGGAGGGCCCGCCUUGACUUGUUGCUUUUGAUCGAGGAGAACGACUUGUGUGAUGCAGUUGCGUGCGAGUCGCUACCGUCAAAGUGUGGCCCUUUCAGAAUUUGCUAGAUUCUAGGGACCAGCGGUGGAGCAUAACGACCAUCAAAAGGAGGCUCCUGACCUGCCGCAACAGCAUCUUCAUGACAUCUUCGCAAAUAACGAAGCAUUUCUUUCUCCAAUAUGCUCAUUUUCUUCGGCUUAUUGUGAGAGCCAACUAUUGUUUUCCCCUUGCCACGAGAGGAACGACAAUCUCCCCCACCAUCGCCACUACCUCCAGCAGCAAUAGCUAUCUUUAUGUACCACAAUUUAUUUAGCUCAUAUUUGCAAAUAACUAAACUAUUAAAAAAUUAUAUAUUUCCCACAUAAUUUAUUUAGAACUAAUUACGUACCUCUAUUUGAAAAGUACUAAACUAUGAAAUUACACCUACAAUUUAUUUACCUUAAUUUUAUGGCUAAUUUCUAAAUAUUAAAAACACAUUUACUCUAAUUUUUUCCUAAUACAUAAAUUUGAAAUCCUCUCCAUUCUACCUCACAUUUACUCUCCAUUCUCCCUCACAUUCAAACUAUCCAUCACAUUGUAGCUCAAAAACAUGUAUAAAUACAAAUCCUCUCCAUUCUCCCUCUUUCUAACAAUCAAACUCAUUUUUCUCCCCCUCCUCUAAAGUAUAAAACAAAGCAUAACAACAAUAAAUAAACAAAUAAUGAAGUAGCUAACCUUCACAACACUUUGGAUGAGUGAAGUCCCCACGGAAAUAAGGAAAAAAUAUUCAGCAGCACCUCCCCUAGGCUUGCUUCAGCGCCAUGGAGAGGAUGAGCUUCUCUGUCUUUGUGGAGUGAAGUGGCUCGGGCUGGACGAGUGGAGGAGGAAGAAAGGCCUCUAUUCUGCAGCUUUAAGGGGAAAAGAUUUUAUCCCGGUUGGUAAAUCCAACUGGAAUAAAAGUAUGGCUCUUUUGUCCCGGUUGGAGUUUACUCCCGGUUGGUGGCUCCAACCGGGACUAAAACACCGUCCUUUUGUCCCGGUUGGUGAUUCCAACCGGGAGUAAACAUUUUGUCCCGGUUGGUACCUCCAACCGGGACAAAAGGAUGGUGCUUUUAUCCCAGUUGGUAAACAUUUAUUUUUUUCAGCAGCGUGUGGGCAAAAACACAAGGUUACUCGAGGACUAAGAUUCUAUACUUCCUAAUAUCAUGACAGAAUGUAUUCUGUACGUUGAAACAUGUGUCAGUCCAGUUUUGAGAUUCGGACCGUGUGCAGUAGCUCUUGAUUGACAAAUACAGAAAGCAUUGUCUAUGGAGAAGAUCAGACAUCAACAAUAAGAAGGCACCAAAAGCAGCAUGGGAAAUGGUCUGCCUGCCUAAAAAAGAGGGGGGUUUGGGAGUCCUUAACAUUCACACCCUAAUGAAGCUUUAUUACUCAAAUACCUUCAUAAAUUCUUCAACAGAGUUGAUAUUCCCUGGGUACAGUUGAUUUGGGAGAAAUAUUAUCCUAAUGGUAAGCUGCCAGGUACUACUAAAAUAGGCUCCUUCUGGUGGAGAGAUAUACUAAAGUUGAUGGAUAAGGUCAAAGGUUUAGCAACUGUCACAUUUAAUAAUGGCAGAACAUGUGCUCUUUAGUUUGAUAUGUGGAAUGAUUCUGUACCUGCUCAAAUUUAUCCUCAGCUCAUGUCUUUCACCGAAAGGAUAGAAAUAUCAAUACAGAAAGCCCAGGAAAUCGUAGAUAUUCAGCAGUUAUUUCACCUGCCAAUUUCCUCUCAGGCUUUGGAUCAACUUCUACAGCUGGCUGCCAGCCUAGAAAGGCUCACUUUGACCAGUAACUCAGACAUUUGGACUUAUAUUUGGGGAAGCCCCAUGUUUUCGUCAUCAAAGGCAUAUUGACAGCUCACUGGCCACAGGCAAAUUCACCCAGUUUUUCAAUGGUUGUAGAAAUCAAGAUGUCAAAACAAACAUAGGCUAGUUUUGAAGGAUAGACUUAGCACAAGAAAUAUGCUUAGGAGGAAACACAUGGUCUUGCCUUCAUAUGAAUGUGUUUUGUGCCAGCAAGGAACAGAAGAAACCCUUUUUCACCUUAUGUUGGGAUGCUCAUUUGCACAAGAAUGCUGGAUUCACCUAGGACUAUUUCCAAACCUGCAUGAUGACCCAUAUAUAAUUCUGCACAGCUUCAAGAAUCAACUACAAGUACCUUUCUUUAUGGAAGUUAUAAUCAUAAUAUGCUGGGCUAUUUGGAUGGCCAGGAAUGACUUGAUCUUUAAAGGCAUUAACCCCUCGGUCCAAGAGACAUUAUCCUUCUUUAGAGUGGUGUUCUCUCAAGUUAUCCAUCGAGUUAAGAAACUGUGGAAACCUAUCAUGACUACAUAGCUAGAGCAAACUUUGUAAUCUUCAUGAUUUUCUUCCUUUCUUUUUUUGUUCUUGAACCCUACUUUUUGUACUUGUUUGUCCUAAUUUUUAUAUAUAUAACCAGCAGGGGAGCUCCCCCUGUUUCAUCAAAAAAAACAUGUGUCAGUCCAGUUUUGAGAUUCGGACCGUGUGCAGUAGCUCUUGAUUAUGUCCUGUCGGUAUACAUGUACGGUGGGAGUCUACUGUACAGGUACAUAUGCGAUACAGUUAUAAAAAAAACGCACCGUCCCUCUUGCCGAUUCAAAUCCAUUUGAAGCCCCUCUCUCUCCUCUCACCCAUCCAUUCUCUCUCCCUCGAGAUCCGGCGACACAUCCACCGCAUCUGGCGCUGCCGGUGCCCAUCCAGCGGCGCUCACUCCAAAUCCGAUCUCGACCUUGAAGGAGGUGGCGGGGACGGCGGGCUUGGAGCACGGCCAACUGCUAGGGAGAGGCGCGCGGCCUUAGCCUCAGCACUUGGGCUGUGGAGAUGUGGCUGUUAGGACCGAAUCCGGCGUGUCAUACUUUAUUGUACUUUUUCAUAUAUUUUCAUGCGUGUAACGGUUAUUGUAUUUUUUCAUGCGUGUCAUGCUUAUUGUACUUUUUAAUAUAUUUUUUAACUGUUUAAUGGGAGCAAGUGGCGCUUGUUUGAACAUGUGGUGCAGAAUGAUCCACCUAAUGCGUGCAUCACCGGGGGCACAAUGAAGGCAUACUACUGAGAUGAUCAGUUGUGGCAUGCCAAGUCUAACUCUCCGUGGCUUGGUCAUUAAUAUAACUGUACAAGCAAGACGACUACCGCGAUUGACUAGCUUUGGUCGUAGGGCCCGCCUUCAUUUGGUCGCAGGACCCGCCUUCAUUUGUUGCUUUUGGUUGAGGAGAACGACCCCUGUGAUGGAGUUGGCCGCCAUUCUAUGGCAGUUUGCGUGUAGGUUGCUACCAAUCAAAUUAAGUGUGCCCCUUUCAAGCUUUGCAGGAUUCUAUGCUAGGUGGGGAUUUAGCUACUGUACGUUGUACUGUAGUGUUGUACUCUAAGCAUAAACUGGUCUCUUCCUUUAAUGUUAAUUGUAUGCUCCGUUGACCGACCUGGAGGCUAAUUCUAGCUUUCAAUUCUUGCAAAUGGGGACAUAGAUACUGGCACAACUUUAGAGGAAACACAUCGAUGCGAGACCAUUCCCGAUGGAAGUUUCGUUCUUUACAAAUGAGAUUCUACAUAAGCAAAUACGAUAACAUAGCGUUGAAAUUAUAGAGACAGCGGAAAUGAAUUUCAUCCGUAUGAAAUUUGGUUCACACGAUUUCCAAUACAAUGAAACUCUUUGAAAUAUCCAUGAAGGACUAGAGUUUAUUUCAUCAUAUCAUAUGUCCAAUCAAACGAUUCCAACAUGAAUUAAAUACUAUGGCCACCUACGAAAAAACAAAUUGAAACUUGCAUUAUUGAGAGCGAUUUAACAAAUCAUCAUGACACACUAGAUGCGCUACAAGAUAUGAUAUCUUUCCAACAGUAGUUUUGUAUGGUGUUUAUUAUAUUUUCUUUUAGUGGCCUUGUAUGGUGUCUAUUAUAUUUUCUUUUAGUGGCCCACAAUUUUCUUGUACAAUUUUCAUAUUUCCUAACAAUUUUAUCAAAUCACCAGCAAUGUAUUUCCCUACAGUAAUGUUGACUAGUUAUCCAAAUAUAUUAAAAACCAUUGACCAUUAUCCACUCGUAAAAUGAACUACUCCCUUCGUCUCACAAAGACUGUUCGUAUAGCUUCCAAAACCUGUCCCACAAAGAUUGUUUAUAUAACUUUCAGACCAUCCAACAAAGACCCUCGUAAUACCUUCUAGCCCAGUUAACGAAUCGAUCUACUCAUACCAUCGAUGUCCGAGCCAGACUCACUAAAUAAGAAAGGUUAAUAGGUCCGACAUUACUGCAAGCGUGUAUGCAUAAUUAAUUCUACUCGAUAAUCCAUCCGAUUAAGAAGAGUUAUUAAGGGUAUUUUGAACUUUUAGAAUUGCUACUAUCUUGUCUAAAAUUUCUAAACCUUUGUGAGACGGAGGGAGUAUGCGGAAAUGGUAGAAGUUUCGUACCGAUGACGUGGCACCCUCGGAAACAACUAACAAAAUGAAACUUGACAUUAAAAUUGUCCUGAGAGCAUAUAAUUUGCAAAUAUUUUGGAGGUGACAGAAGUAAUUCUUGACAGCUUUAAUUUGGGAUGGCGAAUUAUUGCAUCCAUUACCUGGGUUUGGAUCCUUGGGCUAAAGUUUAGCCCUUGUCACAUCGAAUGUUCGAAUGCUAAUUAGAAGGACUAAACAUGAGCUAAUUAUAAAACUAAUUGCAGAAGCCCAAGGCUAAUUCGCAAGACGAAUCUAUUAAGCCUAAUUAAUCUAUCAUUAGCAAAUGGGUACUGUAGCACCACGUUAUCAAAUUAUGGAUUAAUUAGGCUUAAUAGAUUCAUCUCGCGAAUUAGCCUCCAUCUAUGUAAUUAGUUUUGUAAUUAGCCUAUAUUUAAUACUCCUAAUUAGUAUCCAAAUUCGAUGUGACCGGGCUAAGGUUUAGCCCCUGGGAAACAAACGGGCCAAGUACAGGGGCUAAGCCCCUGUCAUAUCAGAUGUUUGAUACUAAUUAGGAGUAUCAAACAUAGUCUAAUUACAAAACUAAUUACACAGAUGGAGGCUAAUUCGUGAGACGAAUCUAUUAAACCUAAUCAGUCCAUGAUUUGACAAUGUGGUGCUAAAGUAACCAUUGCUAAUCAUGGAUUAAUUAGGCUUAAUAGAUUCAUCUCACGAAUUAGCCUAGGGCCGGGUUCUGCAAUUAGUUUUAUAAUUAGCUUAUAUUUAGUCCUUCUAAUUAACAUCCGAACAUCCGAUGUGAUAGGACGAUGUGAUAGGACUGAAGUUUAACCCGGGUAUCGGAAGCUAUUGCCACUUGCGCUCCCUCUUCAUGUCCUGACAUGUACGUGCAUGUUGUGACAGGCUGACAGCAUCUGCUGAACUAAUUAACGCGACCCAGAAAUGGAGCGGUCAAGCUACCCAUUACUCGGGCAGCAUGAGCAGUGACCACACGCUGGCAAAAGGCGAACCAGACAUCGGCCUCCUCCAUUAUUGCAAACGUUCGUUUAAUUUCUUUCAGAGUUUUGACAAAAUUUAAGGAACCAUGGAAGAGGACGUUGGAAGGCCGGAGGUGCUGAUGAUCAAUCGCUACGUGAGGCUUUGGACCGCCACGGGGAACAUUGUAAGCGCUCUGGGAUUCCUGGCGUUGCUGUGGUCCACCGUCGUGCUCCUCGGAGGCUUCAUCGACGAUCUCCUGCUCAAGGAGUUCUGGGUCCUCACUGCACUCAGCUUCCUCAUGUCAUUCAGGUACUACAUUAGCUUCCUCAUGUCAUUCAGGCACUACAUUAGCUUUCAUUUUCACGUGUACCAAAAAUAAAAUCCUUGUAUAGGUUAACGUGUACAGUUUGAGGUUAGCCUUUAGCUCUAGCAUAUGUAGUGCCAAACCAUGUUAAGAAUGUAUGAAGUUCUUUCACGAACUGAAUCAUCAAUUUCUUGUCAACAUUUUUAGGGUACCAUUCAAAAUCUAAGUUGUUUUAAUUUGAGGAUUCUUACAAUGGUACAGCUGUUCCUCGUAACCAAUGCCUACCAAUAAAAUAUAUGAUUUAAACAAUCCUUUGGGUCUCACUUAAUUGGAAAAUAAGAUUGGAAAAUAAGACUAUCAAAUGGAGGAAUUUAAUUAUUUGAAUGAAUUAGGAUAAUUUUUCACAUUCAUGGACCACGUUUUUAUAUUAGUGCGUUUAGUGCACCAAGAAAGCAGCAGGGAGCGGCUCUUGGACAUAUAAAUUCUAUUACUCGCUAAACAAACAACCGUAUCCUCUGCCGUUUUGUUUUAAAAAAACUAAACAACCUAGGUCUGACAUAAUUUGGUCUGACAUUAAUGAAAGCGUGCAUGCAAGCAUGUUUAAUUUUAACAUAAAUGAAGGCUAAUGGUCUGACAUUACUGCAAGCGUGCCUGCAUAAUUUUGUCUAGAAUUUUCUAAACGAACAGUAUUUGUGAGAUGGAAGGAGUAUGCGGAAAUGCUAGAAGUUUCGUACUGAUAACAUAAAUGAUGGCAGAUUAUUGCAUCCAAAACUUAUUAAUUUGAGUGGAAGCUAUUGCCACUUACUCUCCAUGUGCUGACAUGUACGUGCAUGUUGUGACAGCAUCUGCUGAACUAACGCGACCCAGAAAUGGAGCGGUCAAGCUACCCAUUACUCGGGCAGCAUGAGCAGUGACCACACGCAGGCAAAUCCCAUUGCCAAAGGCAAACCAGACAUCGGCCUCCUCCAUUAUUGCAAACGUUCGUUUAAUUUCUUUCAGAGUUUUCACAAAAAUUAAGGAACCAUGGAAGAGGACGUCGGAAGGCCGGAGGUGCUGAUGAUCAAUCGCUACGUGAGGCUUCUGGCCGCCAACGGGAACAUUGCAAGCGCUCUGGGAUUCCUGGCGUUGCUGUGGUCCACCGUCGUGCUCCUCGGAGGCUUCAUCGACGAUCUCCUGCUCAAGGAGUUCUGGGUCCUCACUGCACUCAGCUUCCUCAUGGCAUGCAGGUAAUACAUUAGCUUUCCUUCUAUGUAUGCCUGCCAUUAAUUGCCGUUGCGUCCGUCAAAACUUGAGUCGCCGUUAAUGUCAAAUUUUCACUCUAAUGGCCCCUCGGUUGACUGAUCGAUGAGAGACUUGCAAAAUGCAUAGUGAUUUGUUCUUGAACUAUGUUGUGGCUCUCCCGCUAGAGUGUCUACCUCUUCCAACUCCUAGAGAGAGAAAAAAAUGUCUUGUAAUUAGCCGUGGAGUGGCUGCCGCAAGCAGCUCAGUCCCAAUUCUGUGUGACACAUACAAUAUCCUGAAUUUUAAUGGUCAUAUUAUAGACAAAGACAACCUUAGCUUUUCCCUCACUAACCCAACAUAUUACGCAGGAUGGCGGAAAUUACUAACAACGAGCUCCGUAAAGGGAUUUAUAUGGAAGAGGAUGAAAUCAUUGAUACUCUCCGGCAACAGAAAUGGUUCGAGGCGCACAAGGUUGUAAUCGUGCUGCGUGUGGUGCAAGUACUGAAGUGGAUUUUUAUCGUGUGUUUUAUCCUGCUCUAUCUUGUUUCGCCAUUUGUGAACCUGGGGAUCGCAAUGUGGCGUCUUGUACGACGACAUUAUGGCGAUGCGGGUGGAGAUAUUGGCAACAGAUCAAAACUGAACGCCGCACUGGACAUCUUCUAUGUCCUAAUUCUGUUCCAGAGUUUGUUCGCCUUCUACUGCAUAGCCAUUGACUUGGUGGAGAAUAUAUUGAAAUCACGAACGGAAAAACACUGUGGGCUUGAAGAAAGGCGUAAAGGAAUCGUUUGGCGCUACGCUUCAGAAACAGCUAGGAAGUUCAGGAAGGACGGGGAGCUGCCUGGCAAUUGGAACUUGAUCGCAUACGGUGUAGAGAAGCUCGAGUCUGCAUCUGGGGAUGACCAUCUAUGGGGAGCAAGGGUGUUAGACCAGUUGUUCAGUAAGGAUAAGUCUGUAAGACAGGAGCUGCUAUCUUCCAGGAGCUGUAUCCAGAAUCUGAUCGGCAUGAUUGGUCGGAGAGGUACAGCUGAUAACGUCGAGAACAGAGAGCGUGCCGCAAGGAUUGUAGCACACCUUGCCAGUGACCUCAAUAUAGCUCACUUCCCGGGUACACUGCAAUGCAUCUGUUCCCUACUUGAAAGCUGUAAUACGCAAUCUUGUGAGCCACAAGCUACCGAUCCGUCGGAGGAGCCAGAGGACCAAAAUGGUGCUGACACAGUACUGCAGAUCAAGGACCAAACUGAAUAUGAAUCUGGAGGACCCAAAGAACUGGUUUCUCAAGGCCUGCUGAUUCUCGAGGGGCUCACACAGGACGAAGAGAACUGUGCAGAGAUAAGCAAACACCCAAGGCUGCUCUCUAAGAUCACAUCACCACUGCUGAUUUCUCAAGGCCUGCAGAUCCUUGAGAGGCUGACACAAGAUGAAGAAAACUGUACAGAGAUAACCAAACACCCAAGGCUGCUCUCUAAGAUCACAUCAACAGUGAGCAGCCAUAACUUCCUCAGCAAUACGCGAGACAACACAAUGGUUGAAAUGCUAAGCAGGUCACUCACAGUGGUGAACAGGCUACUUACCAGUCCUGGUGAUGGCGCCACAAGGCUGCGCCAGGAGAUGGCAGGUAACAAGGAAGCUGUCAGCAAUCUGGUGGCUAUUUUGGAGACUGACAGUGAAGGUGCCCAAGAACUGCAUGAACAAGUCCUGGAGGUCCUGGCAGAGUUAGCCUUUGAUGGUUCUUUCACAAAACCAGCUUUUGGUGAGUCUGAAUGCAUGCUCGACAAGCUUUUCAAGACCCUGCAACGCAUCUUCCUUGAGGAGAAGGAUGGCAAUGCUGUGGUGGGAGAAGCAGACAGAGAGAAAGACACCAGACUGAGGGGAAAAGCAGGGGAAGCACUCGCCAGAUUGCUUCCCGUUCGCGCUGCAAGAGAUGCUAAUAAUGUUGCUGGUAUACUUUCCAAGCAAGAAGAGAUCAACCUAUUGACCAAGGUAACGAGUAAUUCGUUAACUCCUUUCGAUAAUUUACAUACAGAUAAAAAUGGUGGCUAGAGAUGAAUUACAUCAAUCUGUAUCAUGCAUGAUACAAUUAUAACUUGCCGAUCCUCUAUAUAUGUUGUUGCAGGUGUUCGAUCACAUAACAGCUACAGGUGCAACCAUAGGUGCAAACAAUGAAAGGCAAUCUGAUGAAAGAAAUUUGUUGGCAGCCAUGUUAUCCCUCGUCGUGGUGAUAUGCAAUGAACACAUUAUCAGUAGAGAAGAUUUUGUUCGUGCCAUCCAUGAAGAUGCAGCACUGGUGAAGAAGCUCGCGCAGGUACUGAAAGUAAACAAGCAAUGCACGGCUGAGUGUUUGAGAGUAGCGAAGCUUACCUGCCAGGUGGUGAUAGCUAUGGUUCAAGCCAAGCCCAGCUUCGUCCAAGAUUUCAAUGAACAUAACUUCAAGGAAGAACUGACCGAGGCUUUGGAAAUCAUGUCGGAGGUUGAUGGCUGCAUGCUCUUUGCUUCUCUUGUGAAGGAAGCACAUAAACUCCUAAACAGCGCACAAGAACAUGGUAAAUGAUAUAUCUUCCUUGAACAGACUCAUUUCUUCAAAUUGAGACCACAAAGGGAAGCUCUUGACAAAUGGAACUUUGAUAGAGCUUUGUGUACUGUGUAGGCGGUAGCACGUUGACUUUCUGAUUACUUAUAGUUACUACUAUUGAUUGUUGCUGUCAGGUGUUCGUCCAACAGAAUUUCAUUAAUUAAGCUACCACGGCCUUCAGGUUGUGUUUGUGAUCAACAAUCACACUGAAAAACUGAGUAACCUUCAAGAAAUUGAAAUCCAUGAGUUGACAGGAUCUGAACAUGAAGUUUCUUUUGUGAAGCGACUAUUUGAUCGGGCAACAGCAGUGAACAAGGUGAUAAACUUCAGAGUCAUCAACCACACUGAAAGCAAGGCCAGGAAUAUGCAUGGAGAAUGAUGCAUCGUAACCACAAGAAUGUACGUGUUAUAUGCACACGAAGACUUCUAGUAGUAGAAUAUGAACCAUGCAUGAAGUUAUAUGUGUAUCAGAAUUUUGUAAUUUCUAUUUUGAUGCCUGCUGCAGUGCAUGACAACAUGAAAAUGCUAGCACGCAGCUCAUUGAAAAAUGUGGAAUCCAUUUACCUUAUGGUUUAUUCUUAUUAAUGUUGUGUUUCUUAC